AAACCAAAACCUUACCCUAAGAAAUGAAGAAGAAGAGUUUUGAGUGGCAACGAAGGUGUCCAAUAAGGGAAAAAUAAGGGAGGCGAUAAAUGUAUAUUUUCUUCUGCAACCAAGUGUAUUCUACCCAUUAAAAAGUCCUUGAAAAUGACCCCCCGUUCUCAACUGUAGUAAUGACUUGAGAAAAAUCAAGCAAAGAUGUAAUCCUGCCCACAAAAGUCUCUUCCUUUAGUUUCAAGGUAGAAAAAUUUGAGAAAAAUGUGAUAACUUUUUGUUGGCUUCAAGAUAAAAUCUUGGUAGAUUCGUUUCCAUUAUUGGGUUUUAUAAUUACUUUAAUAUUGCAUGUAAUGCUGUAUUUGCCGGAUCUUACAAUAUUUUAGAAUCCGAUGCAAUGCAAUACGUAUAGGCAAGAAAUGGUUAGUGAAAGUCCUCAAGUUUUGUCUGUUUUCCGCCAUUGAUUCUCCUGUUUUAGACCCUGAUUGAUUAAAUUAAUGGAACCAUUAUUUUACGUUGAGUUCAUUUUUAACUUUUUUUAAUAUUUUUUCAUUGCCCAUGGUUAGAUCUAAACUAAAAAAAAAUUCCACCCUGUUGUAUAUUUGACAAAAAGACCCAUCAAAGAAAAAAAAACAAAAAAGGGGAAGAUUUGCUGCUCAAAACAGGUAUCUGACACCUCCCCAAAGACAUAGGGGUGUUAGAAUCUGGUCUGGAAAAUCAAACAAAGUUUACCCUGUCCAUUUUUUUCUUCGAUGAAUCCUAGAAUGCAAAGCAAUUAUUAUUAAGUCUUUCAUUAAUUGCCUCAAAAGAACCAUUACUGAAUUCAUCAAAGGAAAAAAGGGGUGACAUAUGGAUAGGUUCCCUGAUGUUCUGUGUGGUUGGAGCUGGGAGGAGAACAAGUUGUUUGAGCUGGCUUUAGCAGUGGUCGAUGAACAACACCCUGAUCGUUGGGAAGUGGUAGCCGCCAUGGUUGGAGGGGAAAAAACUGCAGAAGAUGUGCAUAAACAUUAUGUCAUACUUUUGGAGGAUUUGCAGUUUAUCGAAUCGGGUAAACUCGACCAUAAACUUGCCGAAACUCAGUCCUGUAUUCAACUUGACUGCACUCAAUCUGUAUGCUGGACUGAUGAUGAUAACAAGUACUCACAAUUCUUUUUCUUUAUUUUCUUCUUCUUCUACCGAUUCUUUUUUAUUCUUUUUCCCGUCUCUAGUCCAUAUUCCUUAUUCACUAGGAUCCUUACAAAUCACAGCUAAAGAGAGUAAAUUUCGAUAUACAUGCAUCUGAGUUUGUUGACCCAAUCAUUUCUUCACGCAUGCAUAGCCAAAUGGGCCAAUUCCCGGCUCAACCUUGUCUUGGCCGUUCAUAAAGGGACAAAUACAAGAAUCCUGUUUUGCAGCCCCAGGGAACAGUGCCUCUCAAUCUAGGACUUCUCAUUGUUCUACUUACCUUAUUUGUUCCGUUUUUUCUUUCUUCUCCUGCAUCAUAAAUUCAUAAUAUCAAAUUUCAUAAGACAGACAUAUUUCAGGGUGGUUAUUGUGGAUCAAUUAUUCUGCUAUAUUUAUGUGGUUCUACUUCCAUGAUGAUGAAUUUUUAAAUCAUAAGCUUUUGUUAUCCUCAUUUUCUAGCAUUCCAUUAGUCUAGUUUUAGGCAGAUUUGAAGUUUUUCCUUGCAUAAGGCCAAUCAGAGUUGAAACAAUGCUUUUUUAGUUUCUGAUGUUUAAUUGUUUCUCUGCGCCUUACAGCUUGCUGGUUCGAUUAGACAUAAAAUGAUCCCCAGAGCUACUGUAUUGCUGGUUUAUUAUGAAAGCAGAUUUGGUCACUGGUGGCUGUGCCAGAACUUACGCCCCACACGAAUGCAGGUCAUAUUAAUAUAUCAAUUCUAAUGUUAUAUCCCUUGUUCCUUGAUGUAAUCACUUUCUUCAUUGUAAAACAGAAUUUAUGGGAGAAAAAAAUCAACUUUGCAAUUUGUAGAUAGUAGAAAUGGGUCUCUGGGCCUUGUUUAUUUGAAGCUGAUGUCCGACCCUUGUUAUACUUUUUCUUCAGUAAAAAAAUUCCAGUUUUAGGGUGGAUUUCUUUCAUGAAGGUUGCAAAUAAUGUGCUAGACUUGUUUUACUUAUCUCCCUAGUGAUAAUUGGUUUGAAUCUUAAACACACUCAACAAAAUUCCAAAUCAUAUUUGCUUAAUAUGGAUGUGAUUUUUACUCUUUGAAGGUGUCUGCCAAAGGUACCAAGAACUUGAUUUCAUAAAAUAUCAGUACUUUGAAGCUAAAAACAUCCAGACUUUAAAGUGAUAGUUUUUUUUUCCCGAAAUCACGAGAUAACAAGACAAAAUGGAAGCAAAAGCAGAUAACAUUACAUCUGAGGAAAUAAUAAUAUCGUCGUUGUUGCAGUCUUGUCCAUUUGCAUGAAGCUAGUUCUAUUCAAAACCCAGAUCAAAGAACACAAACUUGUUCCAAGCAUAAAACAUUCAACCGUAGUUUACAGUUGGUAAUUGAGGGUGUUGUCCUGGGGGGCAGGUGUGAAAUUCCAUUUUCUGAGAAGAAAACUUUCUUUGCCCAAACAACCUGUAUCAGAAACCUAGUGGCCAUGCCACGGGGUGAAUUUAAAAGCUGGAUUGUGGUAAACCCUGAUAUUCUUCCUCUCCUCUAUCUAUCUCCAGUCUGUCACUUAAAGCAAUGCAGCAUUUAUUCAAGUCUUCUUAUUGUGUCAUUUCCCCCCAAUCAAUGGUGAUAGUGGAAAAAACAAGAAGGUUCCUGGAAAUGGUUGGAGAAUCAAAAUGCAAAUUUCCAUUACCAGUAAAACGAAUAAUCUCUAUACUUGGAUUGAAAAGAAUAGAGAGAAAAUGAAGAUAAAAGAGCUGGGGCCAUUGGGGCUCAACAAAAGUCACCACAAUUACCUUGUUAAAAGGUACCUAUCAUGAACCUGGAUCUAAAUUACAGUCAUAAUAAUAAUUCCAAAAUGGGAUAAGGUGAAAAAGUUAAAUAAAAAAAGAGGGAGGAAAAAAAUGGAGGAGGCAGAGCCAGGGAAGAGGCAGUGCAUGGGCGGAGAAACAACAGAAUCAGUUGGUAGAUCCAUCCAUGCUCAGCCUGUUCCCUGUCUUUGUCUGUCUCUCCCAUCUUUCUCACUCUCUCUCAAUAUUGACUGUUACCUCAUCUUGUUUUGCCUCUGUUGGAAUGCCCCCAAAGAAACCUGCCACACUGAUGUCUAUGGCUCUAUGCUCUCAUCUGAGCUAUUUAAGCUAAACCCCCCAAUAACGUUUACAGUACAACUUGUACUAAACGGACCCUGUACUACAGUACUAGCAACUUCUUUGAGUGCCUGUUGAACAUAAAAGAACCCUUUUUGGUGGGAUGAAUUUGUACUACACUUGUAUCUGCUAGUACUCUCAUAUUCUCCAAUGAUACGAUGACUCUUACCAAAUAAAUUACUUCCAUAAAAGAAUUUAGUGAUUCCGUUAGCCUAAUGCAUCCACUUCAAAUCUUUGAAUAAACAGAUUCAGCUUGUCUUGCAGAUUUCAAAUGGUAAUGUUGGAUUAUGAUGAAAAUCAAUCAAGUAUGGUUGCAUUGAUUGAUAAGAACAAUUCGUAUUCUAUCUUUUUGGAGGAUAUUGGUUUCUUUAUGUAAAAAAAGGAUUAUUAGAGGUAUUUGGAAAAGGGGGAGCUGGUGGUGAAAUUCAGAUCAAAUGUUGGCUGCCGAUCUAAGAAAUCCACAUGAACUAGAAUUAGGCCGAGCAACCUUAUAACCAUCCAGCUUAUUGCACCAAGACAAUCACGAUAUGUAAGCUUUUGAUCAACAAUUUAAUUUUGUUCCUUUACUUUCAUUUAUCAACUUAAAUAAAUCAAUUUAAACCAAAAUUUACCCUGUUCUUUUUUGUUAAUCAACAAACUUGCUUAUGUUGAUUUAAAUUGUUUAAAAUUCAUUUAAAAGCCGAUUUACUAUUAAAUCAUUAUAUAUUAAUAGAAUUAUUAUCUGGGCGCUUAUUUUAUUUAUUUAUUUAUUUAUAGUAUAUUUGAUUAUAUCUAAAAUAUAAUAUAUAUUUUAAUAUUUGUGAACAUAUUUAUUUAUUGUUCAUGAAAUAUUUGUUUAAUUUAAACGAAUAAAUAUAAACGUACAUAAUUUUGAACAAAUGAACACAAAUAUAAAAUUGAAAUUCUUAGCAAGAACAGGUUUAAAAAUAAACAAACAUAGGUUGAUUAACAGCCUUAAUCCAAAAUUCAAACUUUCAAUAAAAUUUGAUUCCGAAGUUGUUUGUUUGAAAUUAAAUUAAAACUAGAACAAAUAAAAAUUGAAGGAUUUGAAUUGAAGAAUAAUAAAAAAGGAUAAAGAAACUAAAUAUAAGUAAAACUGAAAGAAAUGAUCAAAUUUGUCUUAGUAACCACGAUUAUCAGACAAGUUUCAAAAAAAAAAAAACAGAGUUUAACCUAGUUCUACAUAAAUGAACCAAUCAAUUUCAAGCAUAAUUAAAGAAUUGUAUAAUAUCUCUAAUAAUCAAAUAUAAACUUAUCAAAAUCCGUAGUUAAAUAUGUGUAUAGGUGGGACCAUAUAAGAGCUAAACUCAUCAUUUAAUCCAACAAAUACAUUUAUUUAGAAAGUUGAAGAGUGAGUGAAGAUAAUUUGUAUUACGGAUCCCUCAAUUCCACCUGUAAGAUCUCUAAGCUACUCGAACAAGCAAAGAACUUUUGCGAACAAAACCAAAAAGAAGGUAAAAGGAAGCAUCAUCUACGAAUAUGUAUUUACUUUUCAUUAUAUAUAUUUCAAAAGUGGGGAUGAUGAAUACAUAGGCAACAAAGAAUUUACAAUUCAAAUAUGAAUGAGAUCAGAAGCAUCUCGUUGCCCUUUCUCUCUUUUCUGAUUCCAUUUCCUUUUUAUAUAUCACAAUAUAAAAGUAAAAAAAUUGGGAUUUCUAACCUGAAUGAAUGUACAACUCCCCCAUGCAAAUGCCCUUUUCCAAGAACAAGUCUAGAGAAUCUCUAGACAAAUGAAUAUAGUUCACUUGGUCUGUUGAAUAUCACAUUUGAUAUUUUAAGAGAUCAGGAAGAGUGAUUUUCCCAGAGUUAUUUGUAUCAAGCUUGCUGAACUGAUUGCAUAUCUGCAAUAUAUCCUUCUCCCCAACCUUCCCCAUUUCUUUGAGCUUGUAAAUGACAUACUCCGAUUUACUGCAACCAGAAAUUUUAAGGUGGAACAUGAACAACAAAAGCAUCACAAGCAAAAGAACUACAAACAAGCCCCAUUAGUCUGCUAGAAAAUAAAUAAACAUCCUCAUGAAUUCAUAGACUACAAGCCCUUUAAUUUCAAACAAGCAACACAUAGAGUUCAUUCCAAAAUGAGCUAGAAAGAUAGAAACCCGACCUGAUAAAACCAUUGUUGUUUAUGUCAGCAGCUAGCAAAUCCUCAAUAGUGAUAUCCCUAUGUAGUACCCACUUGGCAAUCCUCCUAUGCCGCUUGUUAACCCUUGCUUCAGCCAAAUACAGGAAAGCUCUAGCAACGGCCAGCGUCGAAAUCAAGAGCCAAACACCAGCAAACAAGCGUCCAGGCAGAGUCUUAAAGGCCCUGUCCCCAUAUCCAACUGUGGUAACAGACAUAACAGACAAGUAAAUAGAAUCAACCCAGUCCAAGCUCUCCACAAAGUACAAAAUCAGAGAUCCAAUCCCAAUACACAACACCACAACCCCAAGUGCCAAACUGACUUUAAGCCUAAUCCUCAUCCUUCCUUUGUCCACAUCAACAAUGUAAUCCCUAGCUGAAAACCCUUGUUGUGAUUUCUCCAUCUGAAUCCCAGUUAAUAUCAUGUUCUCUUGCAGGUCGAGGACAUAAUUCACAACCCCACUCAACAAUAUAUCAAUAAAACCAAAACCCACCAACACAAACACACAAGCAAAAAUCUUGGUAGCUGGGGUUAAAGGAGCUAUAUCACCAUAACCAAUGGUGCACAUAGUGACUAUACAGAAGUAGAGAGCAUCAACAACCGGGUGAGUCUCGAUACCCGAGAAUUCAUCUCUGUUAAACGAAUAAAUAACAACACCGAGAAUUAAGUAAAUGGAAAGCAAGAAAACAGCUUGCCUGAUAAUGGAGCUGGACUCGGAUUGAGGUUUAGGCACUUGGGGUGUUUUGGGCUUCAAAUCACGCAUGACAGCCAUGGCCGGAGCCGUUUUACAUCGCUUGAGAGAACCGGGCUUCUUUGACCCUGUACUAGGAACAGGAUAAUCAAAACGGGGAGGGGGUUGAAUCUGCGGGUGGUCCUCGAUUUCAGAUUGCAAGAGGGCUGGUGUUGAGAUUGACUGUGGGAUUGUGAGAUAAAAGCCAUGAUGAGAGUCAUCAAGGAUGUGCCGAAAUUCGGGUUUUGAUUGGGGGGAGAGAAAAGGCUCAUCUGCCAUCUCAGAAAGCAGAAAACCCACACAACAGAAAAAGAAGCCUUUUACUUUUUUGCGUCUUGAAGAUCGUGGUGGUUGUUGAGAGGAAGUUGGCUUCAGGUUUAAACUUUCAAUAUUGUGACAUUGCUUUUAAGGAACACACUCUGCUUUCUCUUCAGUCAAAUAAAAAUUAAAAUUAAAAUAUUCACAUUGCACCUUAUAUACUAUAAUCCUUGUUUGGACGCAAUAUGGAUUAUGUUGCUUCAUUUAGUAAAAUGGUAUAAUUAGGUUCCAAUUAACAACAUUCUUACAUCCACUAUCACUAUUUUAUUCCUAUAAAUACUAAACCAUCCAUUCUUUGUUUACUGAUCUCAUUUCUCUUGCUUUUCUACUUCUUAUCCACUUUAGACUUAAAUAUCAAUAAUAAUAUUGUUUUGUGUAGACAAAUAAACCAUAUUCUUUUAAAAUAAAUCUAAAUAACUUCAGUUUUAUACCUCUUUGAUGAGUUAGUGCAAUAAUAUAGGAUUUUCUUUUCAUCAAUGUUAAAAUAGUUGUAAUUUCUCUAUUUGGUAUGUAAAAUUGCUAUUUAUAAUUCUUUUUCAACUCUUAAAUAAGAGGAUAAAACACGUUUAAAUACAUUUAAACUCUUAUCCUCUUCUAGUGACAACAAUACUCAUGUCAACCAAGUUAAGACUUAAUUGAUUGUAUGUAAAUUUGUUGAAGAAGUAAAACUAAUAAUUACUUUAUGAGUCUUGAUUUGAAUAAAGAAAUGAUUAAAUCUAUUAUCAAAUAGAUAUUUGACAUGGGCACGAACUAAGCUACCUUUGUCCCCUAUCUCUGUAUAGAAAAAAGUAUAUCUUUAUGAAAUAUAACUUUUGCCCAAAGGAAAAAAUUCCAAUAAGGAGUUAUUUUAUAAUAUUUUUUAAAUAUAUAUAUAUAUAUAUCAAAUAUAUUACUUUUUAUUAAAUUAAAUAAAAUUUAUUUUUUAAAAAAAUUUAAUAAAAUUAUUUAAUAAAACAUUUCAUCAAAUAAAAUAUUUUUACAAAAUAAAACGCAAAAAGAAUUUUAUUGAAAAAGAAUUGAAAGUUGGGAAUCAUUUAAAAAAAAUCAAAUGUAUUCCUUAAAAAUAAUGUUAGAAGUGCAGGAGAAAAAACAGAAUUGUAAUAUUAAUUUCUGAGUAAGGACCUAAAAAAAGGGGGGAAAAACUUUUAUAGUAGAAUUUACAAUGUGUAAAAACAUUUUAAAUGAUGUAAUAGGCAUCGAGAUUUAAUAAUAAAAAAAUAAAUUUUUAGUACCAAACUCGUUUGAUAUGGAUUUUUAUAACGUGAUCUCAUCUCUUAUUGUUAAUAUUGUAUAAAAAAUGUAUUAUAAUGUUAAUACCAAUGCUAAGGCAUUUAUAAUUUAUCAUCGUAUUAUUCAAUAUAAAAUUUAGUAAGUGUAAUUUGUCCUACUAUUAUAAAUUAAACCAAUUGAAAGCCACCUAACAUAACUUACUGUGCACGCGCUAUUGGGCAAACUUUAUAGUUUUCCAUCUGCCAAAUUGAACUUGAAAGCCAAGAUGAAGAUUAGUCUAGUUUUAAAUACAGAUAUCCAAUAUAAGGUUUUACAUAUAUAAGGACGGGUGUCUGUUAAAAGGGCAAUCAUCAUUUUCUUUGCCAUAUUCUUUACCAAUGGCGCUGUGUGUUAUGAGAUCAAGGCGAAGCCUAGUGACUCCAUCUCAGCAAACACCAUCUGGCAAGCUUGACUUGUCAUUCAUUGAUAAAGUGCCGGUUCUAAGAUGCUAUACCCGCACAUUGCAUGUAUACAAACAUGGCCCUGAAGCAUCAAAGGUCAUUAGGGAAGCCUUGUCCAAGGCCUUGGUGCCUUACUAUCCACUUGCUGGACGGCUAAAAGAGCCCGAUAACAAUCAGCUUCAGGUUGAAUGUUCGGGAGAAGGUGCCUGGUUCGUCGAGGCAUCAGCUGAUUCUAGCCUUCAUGCAUUCAAUUACUUCGACGAUGCUAAUUUUGACAUUCCUUAUGAUGAACUUCUUCCUGAUCAAGUUCCUAAAAGUGAAGGCAUGGAACCUCUUGUACAAAUGCAGGUACCAGAAUUUUGAAUUUAAACCAACAAUGAUAGUAAUGUGAUUAAGCCUAAUGCAGGCAUUGUGCAUGGGUUUUUCUUUUCAUUAGGCAUCGUGCAUGGGUUUUUCUUUUUCUUUGUCUCAGGUGACACAAUUUGCAUGCGGAGGUUUCGUCAUAGGGUUAAUAUUUUGCCACACCAUAUGCGAUGGCUUAGGAUCUGCACAGUUCCUAAACGCUGUAGGGGAGUUCGCGAGAGGCAUAGAGCAUCUAAGCGUUGAGCCGAUGUGGCAAAGGGACUUUUUUCCAACUCCAACACAAGAUGCAAAUGUUAUCCAAUUGGCAAACUUGCCAGUGCCACCACCCCCGAUGCCUGCCAAGCCGCUAGAGCAUGUGAGCAUUGAUAUUUCCAUGGAUGAAAUCAAUCAGCUAAAGAAACAAUUCCAUGAAUCGACGGGGCAAACUUGCUCUGCUUUCGAAAUCGUGGCUGCUAAUUUUUGGAGCCUUCGAACAAGAGCAAUAAACUUGGAGCCAGGUACUGAAGUCCGGCUUCUUUUCUUUGCAAAUUACCGUCAGCUAGUGGAGCCUCCUUUGCCUAAAGGCUUCUAUGGCAACUGUUUCUUCCCGAUAACAAUCACAGCUCCCUGCGACUUGCUUAAACAAGCAUCAGCAAUCGAAGUGAUUAAACUGAUACGAGAAGCCAAGACUAAGCUACCUUCUGAGUUUGGUAAGUUCAAGAAUGGAGAUUACUUGAGAAAUGGGAAGGACCCAUUUCUAGCACCUCUAGGGUACACCACUUUGUUUAUAUCGGAAUGGGGUAGGUUGGGGUUCAACCAGGUUGACUAUGGGUGGGGCCCUCCGGUCCACAUGGUUCCAAUUCCGGGUUCUAGCAUCAUCCCUGUUGGCAUCAUGGGAUCGUUGCCAUUGCCUAGAAAGGGUGUCCGCUUGAUGACAUGGUGUGUUGAUAAAGACCAUACCCAGCCCUUCGUUGAUCUGAUGACGAAACUAGUCUAACAAGUUACCAAUGCUUGAAGUCUUGAACUGCUAUUGCUUUACCCAACGCCAAUGUCUAAAAUAAAACAACACAGCGCCACCACAUGUUCAAAACAUUUGUGGUUUUUAUUUAUUCCGUUUAAUAACAUUGUAUUUGGUAUUAUCUUGAUCUUCAAAAUCAUCUUUUUAUUAAAAUUAUCUCAUUCACUUGUGGUCAUUUUCAAAUAAAAUUAUUAUUUCUCAAUAAGUAAAUGCCAUUGUGUUUAGUUUUAUUAGAAAGCAAUUUUAUUUUAUUUUUUUUUAUGUUUUGUUCAUAUUUGAGAUUUGAGAUUACCCUUCCCAUCAAUAUUAUUUUUUUAUAGUAAAAUAAUCAUAAUAUAAGAAUUACAUAAUUAACUAUAUAUAUAUUUUUAGAAAACUAUUGAUGGUUUAUUUACUUUAUAAUAAUAUAUAACUAAAUUAAGGCUAUGCUUGUUUCAUUAAAAAUGGUUUUCGAAAAAUAAUUUCUAGAAAAUGACUUAUCUUUUUGGAAUAGUUGAUAUUUUCUGGUGUUUGGAUGAAUCUGUGUAAAAUAUUUUCUAUUGUUUAGUAGAGUUCUUGCAAAUAUUUCAUAAAAUUUGUUUUCAAUGAAAAAAACAUACAUUUGAGAUUUUAUUAUCUUUUCAUUGUUUAAUUGAGUUUAUUUCAUAAAGCUUAUUUAUAUUUUAAUUAAUCAUGUUUUAGUUUUAUGUAAUCUUAAUAGUUUUAUUUAAUCUUAAUUUACUUAAUUAAGCUUAAUUGUUAAUUUCAUACAUUAGGGCAUAUAAAUUUAUGUUUAAUUAAGUUGAAAGUGGCAAAUAUAUCAUUUUUAAUAUUAUUUGGAUGAGUAGGUUAAAAAAAUGAUUUAAUUUGAUAAAAAUUGAAGUAAGUAAAUUAUAUGAUUAUGAAAUAUGAAAUUUUGGAAAGUUGAGCAUAACAUAGUAAAGUUUGAAAUUAUAGGGGUUAAAUUGUAAAGAUUUCAAAACUUGAGUUUUAGGACAAACUUACAUUAUUUGAGAAUUUAAAAUUUUGGAAAAUAGAAUAUGAAAGUUUAACUGUUCAAAACUCAAGGACUAAUUUUUGGAAAUUUUGACAAUUUUAGUUGUAAGGACUAAAUUAUUAAAUCUGAAAAUUUUAGAAAAUGGACUAUUUUGCAAAACUAUACAAAACGAGGUUUAGGAUUGAACUGUGGAAUAAGAAAAUCUGUUUUUGAGGAAUUAAAUUGUAGACUAGUAAAAAUUUGGAUUUUAAGGACUAAAUCAUAAAAAAUAUAAAAUUGAAAUACAAUGGGCUAUUUUAUUCGACAGUGAAGAGAGCUUCCCCUCUGUUGCUUUGAAAACUUCCCCUUUUUAUUUCUUCGACAAUGAAGACAUUGAACAAAAUCUUAUCUGCUUAGAAAAUGUCUUACGAAAAAAAAAAUUGGUAUUACAAUCUUCACUUAUCUAUUAUAUUGCUCAAUACAUUCAUGAAUAAUAUUACUAAUUUUGUCAGCUCUAAUAGUUACCAUGAGUAUUUACUAAUUAUUUUUUGGAAGAAAAAAAUAAUACCUACAAUCUACAAUAAAGUAGAAGGUAAAAAAAAAGGCUAAUCAGUUACUUCUUUCAUCACCCCAAACAAGCCAAUAUUAGCGCUAAGAGUGCGAAAAUGUAACUCGCUGUUUACAAAACUAUUCGGAGUUCUUAGAGCUCCUUGUAAAGCUUGUUGGAAAAUUCAUUGUCGAGCUUGAUUAAUUGCUCUUUGUUGUUCAAAAUAAAUGAUUUCAUUUUUGUAAUUUUUUAAUUCAAAAUCUUAUAAAUUGAAUUAACCAAAUUCAAUUUUUCUCGUUCUAUUUCAGAGAAAGCUUUGAUUUUACUCUCUUUUUAGAGAAUAAUUUCUUUUGAUCAUUUAUUUUUCACUAAACAAAUACUGUAAAAUAAUGAAAAUAUUUUACGAAAAAUAUUUUACAUGCAAAACAAAUAGACCAUGGGUAAAUUUUUUUAAAUAUAAAUUACGUUAAAAUAAAAAUAGUUUAUUAUAUAUAAAAGUAAAAUGUGUGCAAACUGCAAAAUCCGAGGGGUGCCAGCCAUACUUGAACUACUAUUUACUGGUGGCCGACUUAUACAUAAUAGUUGUCUGGACAGUUGGCCCAUUAGUGUAAGAUUUGUUAAUUUGAAUAAACUCGAAGCCCAAAACUGACUGAUUUAGGUCAUGAGUUGCAGUGUAGACAAUACCAUUGAAGGUGGCCCAUACCCAGAUGAUAAUCGAAUAUUGAUGGUAAUGAUUUGAUUUCCUCGAUAUUUUUUAAAGAUUAAAAGAAAAUAAUGUUUUAUCAUCAAAUCGAUCCCAUGUGCCUGGUGGGAAUCAAUGCUAUUCUCAACUUGAGAUUUGGAUUUUUUUGUCCAUUUUGCGGAUGGCAUUGGAAAAUUCCGCCCAAACUCACCGGAGACGGAUGAUAAUGUCAAAAUGCACCCAAACUCUUAUUUUUCUUGGUGGGUUAGUCGUUUUAAUGUCAUCGAGGGCGAGGCGACUACAAUGGGAGUUUUAUUAGGGAAUGAUUUUCUUCCAGAAUUCUUGUUUUACCACUUCAAUGCUCUCAUCAUGUAAGACUUUAAAAUUUCAUCCAUAUGUGAAGACAUGAAUUUUAAAUAAACGAAAAAGGAAAAUCAUCAAAAUUAAAUUAUUAAAACCUUAUUUCCCUCUCAAAAGACGUGAUUGAUCUAAGUAAUUGUAGUUAGUGGUAGAGUCAAGAAGUUGGUAACCGCUCGAUUUUCCUAAAUUAAAUUUUUUUUAUAAUUUAUAAAAUUUGAAAUUAAUAAUAAUAAAAUUGUAUUUUAUUUCUUCAAAAAUGAUAACAGAUUUAUCCAAACACUAAAAUAUACUAACUUUUCCAAAAAAAUAAAUUUUUUUAGUGAAAUUAUUUUUCAAAAACCAUGUCGAAUGAAAUAAGCGGAGCCUAAAUAUAAACAUCAUAUAGUAUAUUAAGCCAGCAACAAUAUUAGCACAUGCAACGAUUGCCUUUUGGUUUUCAUUCACAACGUGAGGAGCCUCUGACGUAUCCUUUGGUGUACUGCAGGCCCAUAUUAGGUGAGGAAAGUAGGUAAGGCAUUUAGGAACCAGUUGAUGUUUAUAUGAUGGAAUCCUUACCUAUGAUAACCCAACGCGAACAUUUUAUCCUACUAAAUAUUGCCAAUUACAUGUCGCCUUUCUGUUGCAACCGGCCAUAUGCCAUUUGGUACCUGCUUCAGCUCGUUUGUCUCCAUUUGAUUUCUAAUUUUUUUUAUCAAUUUAAUACUUAAAUUUAGUUUUAAUGUUUUAUUUGAUAAUUGAGUUUUUUUUUAAAUUGAUACUUAAUAUUUUUUUCUGCACAAUUAUUUAAAUUUAACUUCAGUAUUCAAUUUGAUACAUUAAUUUUUCUUUUAAAAUAUGAAAUUUAUUAAGAUAUAUCAUAAAAAAAUUAAAACACCAAGAGUAAAAUAUACACAACAAAACUAUAAUAUGUGCAUUAAAAUUUAUAUAAAUAAAUUUUAAUUGAGCCAUUAAUUACAAAAAAUCCGAAAGUAAACUAAAAUUAACGGGAAUAUGAUGCAUAUAAACGAACAUGCCAAAAUCUACAUGAAUCAAAUUGUUAAUGUAUAAAAAUUAUAAUAAUUUGAACACACAUGUAUGUAUGGCCCAGUCUUAAAUUGUUUUUUAAACUUUGAAAUAUUCUAAUUGAAUCUUGAAAGUAUCAAUAUCACAUCAAAUAUGCUCUUUUAUUAGUCUAGUCAUUAGUUCGGGUGUUAAAUGCUAAUUUAAAAUUGAUGUGGAGCAUAUUUAAAAUAUGUUGAUCAAAUUAUAAACAUAUAUGUAACUAUUGCAUGAAUAACUCAGAUUUAAUGUUUUUAAUUAGAAAAAAAAAUGACCCUCUUGAUACAAUUUAUUUUUCAUAUUUAACAUGUUUAUGUGAUAAGUACACACGUUUUAACAAUUUGUUCACCGUAUUUAAAAUAUACUCAAUGUCAAAUUCAAACUAAUUUCAAUGUCUAAUCUAACAUAAUGACAUGAUUGAUAUAAUAUUAAUAUUUUGAAAUGGGAGUGGACAAGUUAGAAGUGGAAGGCAAAGCAUUAACAAUUAUAAAGAAAAGUCGGUCCAUAGCCAUUGGCAAAUUAGAAAUAAGUGCAUACAUCAGAGACAUUCAUCACAAGAGGAUUUCAAAGCAUUCAUUUCAAACAUGUACAAAGAUCAACCAACAUAAUUGUUGUUCCAAUAGGGUCGGAAGCGUGUAAAUUAUUGUACUAAAAAAAUCACACAAAGUUCAAUUCCCAGGGAAGAGAGGUGGAUCACAUGGAUCUCUUAAAUACCAAGUCUUUCCUUAGACAGAAUAUCCCUUCUAUAGUAAUUUAAUAGCACAAUUAAAUACUACUAUUAUACCCUCAAAUAUUGAAAGAAAAAUAGGACAAGAAAGAACACAAGAGUUUUAACGAGGUUCGGUAAAUUAUACCUACGUCCUCGGGCACUAACACCAAAUGAUAACUUUACUAUCUUCAAAGUAUUACAAACAAAUAGAAUUCCUUAAGAAUUCUCAAAUGGGAGAAAAAGAAAACUAAGAGAGAAAGAUUGGUUGGGAUGAAUUGAAAUGAGAAAUGAGAAGGCCUAUUUAUAGUUGAGGUUCAAGGACCAAACAAUAAAUAGCCCAUUAUCUCAAGGACCAAAAAAAAAUUAUCCCUUGCCACUUUUCUAAAGUUGGUGGUUGUCAUUAUUGAUUGUCUCCCAUUAAUGUUAAUGGCAACCAUUAUUAAUUGUCUUCCAUUAAUGUUAACAAUCUCCACCUUGAAGAUUUGAUUAGGAUAAUCACAUCUUCACACACUUCCUUCAACUCCCCAAAUUCGAUAAAGCUAUCUUUUGUAGUGCCUACAAAUGCGCUCUCGAGCGCCAUACACCUGAAGGUGCUCAAAUUCUCAGGAUUUUAAUCAAGUUCAAACAAUGAUUAAACUUGAUUGUUAUUACCACCUUGGUCAUCAUAUCUGCGAGAUUAUCUGCUGUCGAAAUCUUCUGAAGUAGAAUUUUUCCUUUUUCAAAGACUUCCCGCACAAAGUGAUAUCUUACGUCGAUAUGCUUGGUUCUUGAAUGAUAGACUUGAUUUUUCGCUAAAUGAAUAGCGCUCUGACUGUCACAAUAUAAACUUAUGUGACUUUGAACAACUCCUAAGUCUUUCAACAAUCCAUUAAGCCAAAUAGCCUCCUUAACAGCUUCUGUAACCGCCAUAUAUUCUGCCUCUGUAGUAGAGACAGCUACUGUAGACUGUAAGGUAGACUUCCAACUUACUGGGGCUUUCGCAAGAGUAAACAGAUACCCCGUAGUUGAACGACGUUUAUCUAAAUCACCAGCAAAGUCGGAAUCAACAUAUCCAACUACAAACUGACCAAGUGCUUCAUCCUAUUCAAAAAUUAAACCAACAUCUACGGUUUUUCGAAGAUACCGUAGAAUCCAUUUCACAGCUUGCCAAUGUCCUUUUCCAGGAUCAUGCAUAUACCUGCUCACAACUCCAACAGCUCGUGAAAUGUCAGGCCUCGUACACACCAUCGCAUACAUCAAACUCCCAACUGCAUUAGCAUAUGGGACUUUCGCCAUAUAUUCUCUUUCUUCUUCAGUUUUCGGAGAUAAUUGAGCACUAAGUUUCAAAUGAGAAGCAAGUGGGGUACUUACAUGUUUUGUGUUUUCAUUUACACCAAAACAUUGUAAUACCUUUUUCAGAUAUUGCUUCUGAUUUAAACAGAGCUUGCCUCUCGGUCUAUCUCUACUUAUCUCCAUGCCGAGAAUCUUCUUGGCCUCACCUAGAUCUUUCAUCUCGAACUCUUGAUUCAACUGAGCCUUCAGCUUAUCUAUCUCAUUUUGGCUCUUCGAAGCGAUUAACAUAUCAUCAACAUACAAGAGUAGAUAAAUGAAAGAUCCGUCAUGCAGCUUCUGCAAAUAUACACAAUUGUCAUAUUUGCUUCUUGUGUACUUCUGCCUUCUCAUAAAGCUAUCAAAUCGUUUGUGCCACUGCCUCGGGGAUUGCUUCAAUCCAUAUAGCGAUUUGUUCAGCUUACAAACCCAAUUUCUACCACCAUCAUCUGUGUAUCCUUCGGGCUGAGUCAUAUAGAUCUCCUCUUCUAACUCUCCAUGCAAGAAAGCCGUCUUAACAUCAAGUUGAGCUAGCUCCAAAUUCAACUGUGCUACCAAGGCCAACAAAAUUCUAAUGGAGGAAUGCUUCACAACAGGGGAAAAUACAUCAUUGUAGUCAAUUCCCUCCUUCUGAGCGUAGCCUUUAGCUACCAAUCUUGCCUUGUAGCGAAUAUCCUUCUUGCUAGGAGAUCCAUCUUUCUUUGCGAAUACCCACUUGCAUCCGAUUGCCCUUUUACCUUUCGGUAAUUACUCUAACUCCCAAGUAUUGUUCUUCCGGAGAGACUGCAUUUCUUCAUCCAUGGCGCUUUUCCAUUUAUCACUUUCUAAGCUUUGCAUUGCUUCUUGAUAAGUGAUAGGAAUAUCAUCAACAACGGGAAGGGCGUAGGCCACCAUAUCAGUAAAUCGAGCAGGUUUACGAAUUUCUCUCCUUGGCCUUGCAACUGCAACUGGUUCUGGUGUACUUAGUGGUUCUUGGGUCAGAACCUCUUCAACCUCUAAUUCCUCCAUUGUGGCUGGAGAAUUAGACUUAUUAACUGGGCAAAUCCCCAUCUGCUCAAACUCCACCUGUUUUGGAGUACACUCCACCUGCUGUGGAGUAUUGCUCGUCUGAAUAUCUUUAUCUGCUACCUUUUUCAAUGUGGCAGAUUCAUCAAAGGUAACAUCUCUGCUACAGAUCAUUUUCUUUGUGCUUAAGCACCAAAGACGAAAUCCCUUCACUCCAGAAGUGAUUCCCAUAAAGAGAGCUUUCUUUGCCCUCGGAUCUAACUUUGACUCCUUCACAUGGUAAUAUGCAGUGGAUCCAAACACAUGUAAGGAAUCAUAAUCUGUAGCCGGUUUUCCAGACCAUACCUCCAUAGGAGUUUUUCUUUCUAAUGCAGAUGAUGGCAAACGAUUAACAAGAUGGCCAGCGUAUGUCACAGCCUCAGCCCAAAAUUACUUGCCCAACCCAGCAUUGGACAACAUACAUCGAACUUUCUCCAGCAAUGUUCGAUUCAUACGCUCUGCCAAUCCAUUCUGCUGUGGUGUAUCCCUAACUGUGAAGUGUCGAACAAUACCAUACUCUUGGCACACAUCGAAGAACGGAUCACUUUUAUAUUCCCUUCCAUUGUCCGUCCUAAGCCGCUUGAUUUUCUUGCCAGUCUGGUUUUUGAUCAUAGUUUUCCAUUUAAGAAAAACUCUAAGCACUUCAUCCUUAGUUCUCAUGGUAUACACCCAAACUCUUCUGGAAAAGUCAUCAACAAAAGUAACAAUGUAGUGUUUUCCUCCCAAUGAAGGUGUCUUGGAAGGCCCCCACACAUCUGAGUGAACAUAUUCCAAAAUACCUUUUGUAUUAUGGAUAGUAGUACCGAAUUUCACUCUCUUUUGCUUUCCCAGAACACAAUGCUCGCAAAAUUUUAAUUUGCAAGCCUUUGCACCUUUCAACAAUCCUUGCUUUGCCAGAAUUUGCAAAGAUUUUUCGCUGGCAUGUCCCAACUUCAUAUGCCACAACUGUAUUGAGUCCAAUUCUUUGUUGCCAGAAGCUGCAGCGACUGCUCCAAUAACUGUACUACCUUGGUAGUAAUACAAGUUAUUUUUCCUGAUGCCCUUCAAUAUCACAAGUGCGCCAGAUGUCACUUUCAAAACCCCAUCUCUCAUAGUAACAACUGAACCAUUGGAUUCCAGGGCUCCCAAUGAGAUGAGAUUUUUCUUCAAACUGGGCACGUACCGAACAUCAGUCAGAACUCUGGUUGAUCCAUCUUUAUUCUUUAAUUGGAUUGAACCUAUCCUAACAGUUUUACAGGCAUUGUCAUUGCCCAUAUAAACAACUCCUCCAUUUAGUUCUACUAAAUCAGAGAACCACUCCCGGUUAGGGGACAUAUGAUAGGUACAACCCGAAUCCAAUAUCCACUCAUCUGAAUGGAAUGACGAUGAUGAUGCAACCAGUGAUAGUUUAGAGUCACUGGUAUCAUGCUUUGCAACACAAGCAUCUACAGCAGCUUUUCCCUUAUUCUUCAACUUUGGACAAUUUUUCUUCCAGUGGCCUUUCUCAUGACAAAAAGCACAUUCAUCUUUCCCGAGUCUGGACUUUGACUUUGAUCUCCCCUUUUGAGUUUUCUUCCGAGUGUAUGAACGACCUCGGACUACUAAAGCUUUUGUAUCUCUGAUUGAGUUUUUCUGUUUGUCCUUCUUUCUCUGUUCAUAACUGUAUAAGGCCGCACAGACUUCGCUCAGAGAUAUAUCACUCCUGCCAUGAAGUAGAGUAGUUUGUAGGAACUCAAACUCCUCAGGAAGUGACCCCAACAGCAUCAAAGCCAAAUCUUCAUCUUUGAAUGUCUCAUCCAUAUUCAGCAAAUCAGUGACUAACUGAUUAAAUUUGGUGAUGUGAUCAUUCAUUGUGGUACUUGGGACGUAUGUGAAGCGAAACAGUCUUUUCUUCAAGUGGAGCUUAUUUUGACUGUUUUUCUUCAAAAAAAUUUCUUCAAGUGCCACCCACAACUUAUUUGCAGAAGUCUCCUUUGAAAAAGCAUACCUCUGCUCUCGAGAAAGGCAUGAUCGAAUUGUGCCACAUGCCAACCGAUUGAUCGCCUUCCAAUCUUUCUCCUGUACAUCAUCUGGUUUCUCUUCAUCAAUGGCAAUGUCUAGACCCUGCUGAAAAAGGGCAUCUAGAACCUCACUUUGCCACAUACCAAAAUGGCCCGUGCCAUCAAAGAUCUCCACGGCCAGUCUUGCAUUUGCAAUUGUCGGUCUUGUCCACAUGGACGAUGUUGAAGCUCCUACACCGACCGUUUUCUCCAUAAUCUUUCAAUAUACCUAAGAAAAUCUUUUCUGAUGUGGAAGAUCAGUUCAAACUGCAACCACAGAGUAUACUACGAUUAACCUUCGGCUCUUGAUACCACUUGUUGUUCCAAUAGGGUCGGAAGCGUGUAAAUUAUUGUACUAAAAAAAUCACACAAAGUUCAAUUCCCAGGGAAGAGAGGUGGAUCACAUGGAUCUCUUAAAUACCAAGUCUUUCCUUAGACAGAAUAUCCCUUCUAUAGUAAUUUAAUAGCAUAAUUAAAUACUACUAUUAUACCCUCAAAUAUUGAAAGAAAAAUAGGACAAGAAAGAACACAAAAGUUUUAACGAGGUUCGGUAAAUUAUACCUACGUCCUCGGGCACUAACACCAGAUGAUAACUUUACUAUCUUCAAAGUAUUACAAACAAAUAGAAUUCCUUAAGAAUUCUCAAAUGGGAGAAAAAGAAAACUAAGAGAGAAAGAUUGGUUGGGAUGAAUUGAAAUGAGAAAUGAGAAGGCCUAUUUAUAGUUGAGGUUCAAGGACCAAACAAUAAAUAGCCCAUUAUCUCAAGGACCAAAAAAAAUUAUCCCUUGCCACUUUUCCAAAGUUGGUGGUUGUCAUUAUUGAUUGUCUCCCAUUAAUGUUAAUGGCAACCAUUAUUAAUUGUCUUCCAUUAAUGUUAACAAUAAUUGCUCACAAACUAGCAUCAGAGAGUUUAAGAAGGAACAAGGAGAUUUACCUGGAAGUCGUGGUGCCGGAAUAUGCUCGGGUGUCGCUGGGAUCAUGACAUCAGAGAGAACGAGAACUCGAUUGAAGAGUGUUUUAGGGUUUCUGAAGAUCAAGGAGAACGAUAGAUAGUGAUCUUGGAGAAGACUAAUCGUGAGCCUCGGAGAACUGUAACUGACAAUAGAAGUAAUAUAAGCUUUCUAGAAAAGCUUGAAAUGGGUGACAGUUCAUUUUCAGAUUGCAUUGAGAUUUUUUUUGUUGUUUUUUUACUUUCCUUUUCCUAGAUAGAUGUUUCUGGAUUAAGGCCGUUAGUUUUCGGCCCAUUCUCUUUUGGUUUGCUUAGAUUUUGUUUUUGGAUUUAUUUAAUAUAGUUCAAUCUGAAUAUUUUUUAAUAUAUAUAUAUAUAUGUAUUCUGAAAAUUCAAUUAAAAUAUUUUAAAAUUUUAAAGAUUAGCUACAAUUAAUUAAUUAAAUUAACCUAAGGACAAAUCAUACUCUAUUAUUCCGAAACACCUUUCCUUAGUAGUACGCACAUGCCACCACCAUCUAUUCUAUGGCUAAUUAAAUAAUUAACAUAAAUAAAUUGUUAAAAAAUAUUAUUAUAUCGUCAUAGAAUUAGGCUAUCAAAUUCUCAAACUCUAGAUAGAGAAUUUUUUGGGAACAACCUUAAAAUUAGGGUAUAGAUUUGGUUUGAAAUUAAAAAUUUAAUAUUCUACCCCGUAUAUAUUAUGCUUAAGAAUAAAGGAAGGAAAUGUUCUUCGAAAAAAAAAAACCAAAGAGAGAAGGAAAUGUAUACGUAUGCGAAUAUCAUAUUUUAGAAGCAAUUUUAUAUAUAUUAAAUUACUUUAUUUGGUUGAAAUGUAAUAUUAUGUUGUUUGGGCUGUGGAAUGUAAAAUUAAUUUAAAAAGAUAUUUUAUUAAAUUAUUUUCCGUUAUAAAAAAAUAUAAAAAAAGUUAUUAAACUAUAUUUAAAACAAAAGUGAAAUAUGAAAAAAUAUAAAAAGUUAACACAAUAAUAAUAUAUAAAAGGUUUGACCCAAUCUUUGAGAAGGCCUGUAAAUUUUGUGUUGAUUUUUAAUAAUAUUCCUAGGACAGCCAAUAGGAUUACUCACGGUAAAGAAACGAGUUAUUGGAUUUUAAAGUUGAAACAUUCAUUCAUUAGCAAAAGAAGAUGAAAAAUGGAGUGUUAUUCGUACAAUUUUUCAUGGCAAUUACUCGGCAGAAAACAUCAAACAGAAAAUCCUUAUUACAGGACCAAGUUUACUGAGUUCCGUGUCUUCAACAAAUAUUUAUUCCAAUUUCAAAUGGACAACAACAAAGGGUUCACCACCUCAGUUUCUUAUGAAUCUAUUGCAUAAUGCUUUUUGAAUAAACUGCAAACAAUGUUUGAACAUUACACUAUAAAGUAAUGUUGAAUCACAUGCCGGCUUCAAGCCCUCCAUUCCAACAACAAUUAGGGAUAUGAGUUUUCCUUACCAACAAAUCCUACCCUUCAAGUUCGAGGCGGUUGGUUGGUAAAUGCCUAAUUACCUAUUGAAUUAUUCUCCUGUCCCACACCUAUCUGCUUCUUCUCAUAAUUUCUUCUGACUUGUUUUUAGUUUCUCACAUUAGAUUUCUAAUUUUAUACAAAGAUUUUCUUCAGAAAAUAUAAAGUCAGUUUUAAUCUAUUGGUUUCUCCAACAUCAUUUUGUCUGACUUGUUUUUUGUUUCUCACAUUAUAUUUUUAAAUAUAUCAUCAAUUCUUUUAUACAAUUAAACGGUAAAUUCACAAACAUAAAAUUUAACUCGAAUUUUUCAUCAAAAAGAGUUCAAUUUCAUUAACUAUGGAAAUUCAAUUGACCAAUUAUUCCCAUCUCUAUUUUUUUUCCUUAAAAGAUAAAAAUAAUUGCAAAAUAUAAAAAAAAUUAAAAAAAUGUUGAGAAAGAAGAUAUCAUUUCUUUUUACGUUUAUUUUUUUGUAUUUUCCUAUAAUUAAGAAUAAAAAAAUUAUUAAUUAGAUUCUUAACAUUAUUAAUUUUUUUUUCAAAAAUAAAAUAAAUGUGAUUGGGUUAGGUAUGGAUUAUUUUAACUUAAAUUAUGGUUGGGUUCUCUCUAUUUUGUUUAAUUUUAAGAAAAUAGUUCCUAUAUUUUUAUAGUAUCAUUAAUGAGUACAAAUAGUUAACACCCUUAGUUAUUUUGGUUUAAUUGUUGAAGCGAAAUUUUUUCUGAAAAAUACAGAUUUUAAUUUAUCAUAUAGAGAUAGAUAUUUUUGCAUGGUAGGUGUUUUAAAAAGAAAUUAUCUCCACAUUUUAUCAAAAUAGUUGUGGAUACCAAGCAUAUCUUAUGGAAAUGGAACUCUAACUUAGAAGUUUUCGAUCGGUAAGAGGUGUACAUUAGGGAUGUCCAUUGUCUCUUUAUUUAUUUGUCUUGUGUAUGGAAUGGCUCAGACAUACUAUUCUUUCCGAUGUCAACUCUGGGCGAUGGAUUCCUAUUUGUCUAUCUCGUUCAAGUCCCUCUCUUUCCCAUCUUUUCUUUGCUGACAACUUGAUUCUCUUUGGUCAAGUUGGGGAAAGUCAAGCUAGGGUUCUAAAAGAAGUGUUGGACAAUUUUUGUGACUAUUCUAGACACAGGAUUAAUGCUUAUAAAGCUAAUAUCUGUUUUUCAAAGGGAGUGAAUGAUGAGUUAGCAGGACGCGUAUGUCAUAUCCUCGGGUUUCAUAGAGUUCAAAAUCUUGGAAAAUAUUUGGGUGUUCCUCUCUUUCACGAUAGAGUGACUAACAAUUCUUUGCGUUUUAUCGUUGAUAACGUCCGUAGUAAAUUACAAAGUUGGGACACUAGGAAGUUGUCACUAGUCGGAAGGGCCACUUUGGCCCAGUCGGUUUUGAUGGCAAUUCCUAGCUAUUUUAUGCAAUCAAUGAUGAUUCCCAAAGGGCUCUGUAAUAUCCUGAUUUUGGGCCUAGUCGGAAUAGUGGUUUCGUGACCACAAAAUCCGAGAUAGAAAUAAUUAUUUUAUAAUUAUUUUGAGGUCUAUGAUAUGAUUGCAUGAUUGUGUGAAAAUUUCGUGAAGAAAUUUUAUGCAUAAAGUGCUUAAAUUGAAAUUAGGGAAUAACUCGAAUAAUUUGUAAAACUUGCAUUCUAGAAGUUUCUAGUAUGAAAUUGUUUUGAAAUAUUAAUUAGGAGGUCUUAAAUAGAAAAUUUACCAAUUUCUAAGUCUAUGGAGAAAAAUUGGACAUGGAUGGAAUUUUUGGAAAGUUUAGUAGUAAGGGCAUUUUGGUCAUUUAGGGGUAAAAUGAAUUAAAAUACAAAAUUAAAAGCCAAUUUUGCUCAUCUUCAACCCCAUGGCCGAAUACAGCAAGGAGAAACCAUGGCUAGGGUUUUUCAAGCUUCCAAGCUCGAUUGUAAGUCCGUUCUAGUCUCGUUUUUAAUGAUUUUUACAUUUUUGGAAUCCCAGUAAUUUGAUUUAACUUAUUCUAACAAUAAUUUAACCUAGGUUUUAUAUUUGGAAAAAUACCCAUAGGUGAAAUUUGUGUAUUUUGGUGUUUUAUGAUAGAAUAUAAGGUUUUAAAUUAUGUUAGACAACUUGUGCUACUCGGUUUUAAGUGAAAACGAGCAAAAGGGCUUAAUCGGUAAAAAUACCUAAUAGUCAUAAGUACAUGUUAGAGUGAGAAUUUGAUGUUGCCAUAGAAGGGAAAAAUGAUCAGCAUGUCAUAAAACAUAAGAAAAUAGGCUGAAGUUUAAUUUACGAGCUUUGGGUCAAAAGUGUAAAUAUGUAAAAGUUUAGGGGCAAAACUGUAAUUUUUCCAAAAUAUGAUUUUGGGUCAAUUUGAAUAAUGUGAGUCCUAAUUAGACUAUAUUUUAAAUGAUAGAGCAAGGAAAACUAAAAUUCGGGCUAAAAUAGGGAAAAUACCAAGUUAUGGACGAAAUGGUAAAAGUAGCAAUUUUCGCAUACGAGGUAAGUUCAUGUGUAAAUAAUGUAGCAUAAUUGUUAUUUUUAAGUUAUUGAUGUUAAUUAUAUGAUACGCUGAUUUUUAAUCGUGAAAUAUUAUGCUUUGUGGUUAAUGUUGAGUAAUAUGCAAAUUAUGUUUACUACUUGAUAAAUAUGAAUUGCUACCGAGUAUCGGUUCCGAUAUUCCAUGGAAGACGACAAAUGUGAGAUCGAGGGAAAAAGCCCGUUUGAACCUUAGGAAUAGAUUAGGAUACAAGUGACAUGUCACUAGGAUGUUUGAGCAUUCGAACUCGUUGAGUUGAGUCCGAGUUCACUUAUGGAUGCGAAUGUCUGAACUCGUUGAGUUGAGUCCGAGUUCGAGCGAUGUAACUAGGCAUCCGAGCUCGUUGAGUUGAGUCCGAGUUCACUUAUGGAUGCGAACACCCGAGCUCGUUGAGUUGAGUCCGAGUUCACUUAUGGGCGGGUUACAUGGUAGCUUGGCUACAUAUGUGGCACUUAUGUGCAAACUUUCCAUGUAUCCGAAUUAUAUUCCGAUGUGUUCAACGGGUAAAAUUCUACUCAAAUGGAGGAAUACUCGAGAUGAAAGGGACGUAUUGGUAAGUGUUGUGAAAUGAAUACUUUGAACAGGUAUGUACUUAACCCUCGGGUUGAAAACUCGAUAUAACAACAAUAUGGUAAGAUGAUAAAUGAAAAUGUGAUAUGAAUGUCUCGAUGAUGAUUUUGCAAAUGAUGUUUUAUGUUUGCUUAUAUAGUUAUGUUACUUGCUAUUUGCAUGUGAACUUACUAAGCAUUUAUGCUUACUCCCUCCUUUUCAUUCCUUGUAGUGUUGACAAGCCAGCUCGGAAAUCGGAAACGGUCAGAGGCACGCUCACACUAUCCGUAUACCAUCUUGGCAUAAUGGCUUGUAUAUUUUGAGUAUGACAUGUAUAGCAUUAUAAUCAUUUUGUGUAUAUGGUCUUAUGAUAUGGUUAUUGAGUGGUAUGGAAAUGCUUGGUAAUGAUUAGCCAUUGGAAUGGGUAAUCAUGAUCAUAUUUGGUGUUAUGUAUGCUAAAUUGCUAGCUAAUCCAUGGAAACCAUGAAAUAGGUAAAAUUUACCAUAAAAUAGAUUCAGACAGCAGCAGUGACGUGAGUUUGAAAAAUCACUAAAAAUAGUAUAGAUACAAUUAGAUGAUGAAUAAUAUAUGGAAUUGAAGAAUUAUGAGUCUAUUUUCAUAUGGAUGGAACAAAACAGGUAUAUGAGUUAUAUUUUAUGAGAUGUUUAAAUUUUUGUGAAACAGGCCCAGAGCAAUUUCUGGAUCCCCUGUUCUGACUUUGGAAAUUCACCAUAAAUUGUUCAAAGAUAAUUAGAAGUCAUAAUUUAUAUGUACAGAUUCCUUAUUGAGUCUAGUUUUAUUAGAAACAAACCUUGUAGUCAUUGAAAUUCUUUAUAGAGAGAUAUCUGAUUCGUAAUACACAGAUGUCAGAGCAGUCGAACCCUGAAACAGGGGAGACUUUAACUAAUAAAAUGUACUAAUUUUAUCAACCAAAAAUUCUAUAAAAAAAAUUAGUAAAUAUAUAUAUGAGUCUAGUUUCAGAAAAAAUUUACGGAAUUGGAUUUCGAGUUUCGUAACUCGAGAUAUGAAUUUUUAAGCGACUAUGACGCAGAUUGUUAGCUUGACUUAAAAUUUUAAAAAUAAAUUGUUUGAGCUGUUUAAGUAAUGAAUUAAGUCUAUUAACACCUCGUGUUCGACUCCGGCGACGGUCUCGGGUACGGGGCGUUACAGGCUCUAUGAGGAAAUAGAAUGAAUUGGUUAGACAAUUCAUCUGGGGGUCUUCUAAUGGUGAGAAGAAAUUGGCUUUGGUUAGUUGGGACAACAUUUGCCAACCUCGGGAUCAUGGUGGUCUAGGUUUUCGAAAGUUGAAAGAUCAUAACACCUCUUUUAUGAUGAAAUUGGGUUAUAGUAUUAUAACUGAUUCUAAGGCGCUUUGGGUUAUGGUUCUAAGGUCCAAAUACAAUAUUUCAAGUGGAUUUCCAGAAACAUUGUCGCGGGGAAGAGGUUCUUUCUUGUGGACAACCCUCACUAAAGCUUGGCCACUUAUUCGAGAGAAUUUGAUAUGGUCAGUAGGGGAUGGUACUAAAUAUUAGGUGUUUGUGUGACCCUUGGAUCUUGAAAGCGGGAUCGUUGGCUAAUAUUAUUCUUAGACAUUCCACUCUAGACAUGGAUUGUCUUUUGAGUGAUAUGGUGACAAAGGAUGACGAUUAGAACCUAGAUCUCUUUCGUCUUUGGCUCCCAAAGGAGGUGAUUUGGAAGAUUGUAGAGAUCCCUCUGCCUCAUCCGGAAGCAGGGCCUGAUAGGAUAAUUUUAGGAGGUAUCUCUACAGAUUCAUUUUCCCUAAAAAAAGCCUAUAAGAAGCUCCAAAAAAGGUUAUGGAAUCCAAAAGACCGAUGUGGCGCAUCCCCUAAAAAUUUUAAGGGCCCUGUGACAGCCCUAAAUUGACCCUAGUCGGGAAAUGGUUUCGGGACCACAAAACCGAGUCAUAAAAAUAAUUAACCGUUAUUUUCUAUGCUUAUUGUGCGUGAACAUGCAUGUGUGAAAGUUCCAAUCUUUAAUUUAUUCAUUUGAAUGUGAAUUUAUUUAAUAGGACUUAUAUAAGACAUUUUUAAAAUGUGAUAGGUUAAUGUGUAAGGGUCUAUUAAUGCAUGUUAUAAAAGUAUGGACUUGCAUGUCAAAUUGUCCAUUUUAGUUAGUGGCCGGCCAUGUUGUUAAUUAUUAUAUAACAUAGAUAUAUUUAUUUCUAUUAUAUGGUUUUAUAAUAUAGAAUAAGGUUAUUAAAGAUAGAAAAGGGGUGAAGAAAAAAAAAGAAUUCAUCUUUACUUCCUUCUAGCCGAAAAUAAGAGAGCAAAAGAGGAAAUAGCUUAAGUCUUUCGGUCACCUUUGAGCUGGAAAUUAAGGUAAGAAAUUCAAGUUAGUUUUUUUAAAUCUUAGCAUAGUUUAAGCUAGAUCCUAAGUUCCUUACUUAGCCCAUGCCAAAAUUUUGAAGUUGAUGGUGAUAUGAACAUUCGGCUAUGGAAGAUGUUAAAGAGAAUGGUUGUAAUGUUAUAUAUAUUUUGAUAGUAUAUUAGAUGGUUUGAGAUUUGAGCUAGUUACAUGUGCUAUUAUGAAGAUUUAUGGAUGUUUUAGAAUCGGCCUAAGUGUUUUAGUCAUUAAUAUAUAUAUUGCCGAAUGGAUGCUUAAGGAAUUGGUUAAGUACAUUGUUGUUAAAGCUUGUUGUUUUUGUAUAAUUGUUGCCUAGCUACUAAAUGAACUUAGGGUAUUAUAGAUAAGUUUAAGAGUGGCAUAAUUGAAAUGAAGUUUCCUUGUGCCGAAUGUGGUUUUAGUGCAUGAAUUAGGAGUUUAAUUUCAUUCGGUAACUCAUACCAAAUUGGGAGAUAGUAUUAAACAUUAGUAUUAUUUGUUAAAAAAAAAUUGAAGUGAGCUUUGAAUGGUUGUUUUGCUUAUAAUGGCUGAAUGUGAACUUAAGUUUUGAAUUACAAUUGAAGCUUGUUAGUCAGUUGAUGAUGUCCUUUGAUAGCCCUUUUGAUAUUCGGCCAUUGUUAAUGAAUUUUGAAUUAGUUAUAAAUUUCUAUGUUUUAAUUAGCAAAUUUAAUUAUUGAAGGUUGAGCUAAUUAUAUAUGAUGAUAUGCUCUAAACUCAAAUGGUAAGUUCUUAAGUGUUUGGACUUGGAAAUUUAAGAGCAAAUUGUAAUAAUCUGCUUAGGACAGCAGCAGUAGCGUGAUUUUUGAAAAUCACCAUAAAUUGUUGGAGUGGAAUUAGAGACUGAAUAAAAUAUGUAAUCAAAGCUCAAUGAGUCUAGUUUCUUAUAAAAUAAACAGUGAAAGCAAAGGAAUUUUCUAUAGAGAGAUAUUUAAAGUUGUGUGUGACAGUGUCAGAAUGAAUCCGUGAUCCCUUGUUCUGUUUUUAGAAAAUCAUUAUAAAUAGUACAAAAAUUUUUAUAAGAUAAAAUUUAUAUUCUUAGACUCCUUAAUGAGUCUAGUUUCAAAUUAAAUAAACAAGAACAUAUUUUGAAAUCUGUACAAUGAGAAAUUUGAUUCGUAGUGAAGAGUGGUCAGUAUAGUCAAACAGUGAAAUAGGGGAAACUUUAAGAAAAUUCUGGUCUUGAUUGGCCAAACCAAAAAACCUUAAAAUUUUAUGGAUAAAAGGUAAAUGAGUCUAUUUUCAAGAAAAAUUUAUGGAAACUGAUUUGGAGUUUCGUACCUCCGGUUAUAAAUAAUUUAAUGACUGUUGCUCAGGAAGUCAGCUUAUAGUGAAAUUGUGAUUAUAUUGUAAACAUUGAUUCUUAUAAGCUUACUAUAAUCUGUAUGUGUGAAAUUCGAAUAUAUAUGUAUUAUAUUCUGAAAAUGAUAUUUGAAUAGUCGAUUAAUGAUUAGUUUAAAAUUUGUUGAAUUAAAGCUCAAGAGCAUAGGGGGGCAACUUCGAAUAAGGGAGAAGAGAAAGUAACCGAGUAACCAUUUCGCAACCGUUCAAAUAUAUCCGAGGUAAGUUUUAAGUAGUUUCCUUUAGUAUAUAAUUGACGAUGCCACUAUAAGGGUAUAGUAGGUAAAUUGUGAUCUUUGGCUUGCACUUAAAUUAAGAUGUAUAAUAGAUAAUGCAUGUAUAUGACUUAUAGUUUGAUGGCCACUUUGAAUUUAAGAUUAAAUGAUGAAUAGAAUGAGUGAUAUGAGAUAUAACCACUGAGCUGAAAUGUGAAUGAUGAUGUGCGUAUCGAGUUUAUAUUCGAAUGUAAUAUACGACUAUUAAGUGAUAAGGUGACUGUCAUGUGUUAUGACCAAAUGUGUAUGAGAUUGAAAAUAUCCGGACAUGAGGUCUGCAGGCUAUAUGCUGGAAAAAUAUCCGGACAUGAGAUCCGCAGGCUAUAUGCUAGGAAUAUAUCCGGACUUGAGGUCCGCAGGCUACGUGCUGGAAAAAUAUCCGGGUUAAAGACCCGCAGGCUUACGCUAGUAAUGUAUUCCGAGCUCUAAGAUUUGACAGAACCGAUGCCAGUAAGUUAAAUAAGAUUUCGACUUCGAAUAUCAGUGGUAAACAUCGUUGCGUAAGUAUUAUAUGUUUUACAUGUUAAGGUUCGUGUUAUGUGCUUAUAGUUGAAUUGAUUUUUUUUAGUGAUUUAAUAGUAUCAAGGCACGAAAUAUAUAUAUGUGCGUGAAUGAAUUCGGUAUUUGAGGAUAAGACAAUAAUAUAAUUGGUUAAUGUAAGUCACCAUAUGAAAGAAUGUGAUUAAAGGUAUUAGUAUAAUCUAUGUAAAUAGUGAAAUAUUUGCAAGAAGUCUUGUGUAUACAUACAUACAUAUCCGGUCAAGCGGUUUGUAACUAAUGUACUGAUGUAUAUUUGGUCAAGUGAAUUACAAUUAGAAUACAAGUUUUGUGAUACUCAAUGUUCAAUUUUUAUGAUGAGCAUUAAUAGUAUGAAUUACUUAAAACUUACUAAGCCUCGAAAGCUUACUCUGUUUCUUAUUUCUUUGUUUUAUAGAUUGUUGAUUUUGGCUAUUGACUCGGGGAUCGUCAGCAGUUCUUCAUACUAUCGAUCUUUUUGGUACAGUUAUAUUUUGGACUCGAUAUAGCAUGUAUAGGUUGGACUGUUGACAAAGAAAAAAAACAAAAAAAAAUAUGUUUUAAAAUUGUAAUUAUCUUGGCCGUAUGAAAAUGGCACUUAUGACUUAUAAAUAUGUAUGUAUUCAGUUCGAUUUAUACUUGUGUCGGUAGAUUAUGUGAUUGAAAUUAAAUGUUUAGCUUGGUAAUACCUCAUAGCCUAUACCGGCGAUCGGAUACGGGCUAGGGGUGUUACAGGCCCCAACAGGUUAGGUUCUUUAUUUGGCUUGCUUUCAAUCAACGCCUGCUUACCAAGAGGGAACUCGCACGAUGAAGACUAGGGCAUGAUUCAGUAUGUGACGUUUGUGGUCAUGGUUCAGAGGAUGUGUGUAAUACCCCCUACCCAUAUUCAUUACCGGAGUAGGAUACGAGGUAUUACCGGAGUUUACGAUUUUUUUUAUAUUCAAUAUAGCCCCUUUAUAAAUAUCUAACCUUCCCUGCAACAUUAAAUCGAGACCAAUCCACUUCAACCAAACCAAUUCAACAUAUUUUCAAGAUAAAUUCAUGCAUAUUUAUAAGAUAACGUCAUCACAUACCCAAAACUAGGUUUGUUAACCAUACUAAUGGCUAACUUUAUAUUCAUUUCAUGUUAACAUUUACUUUAUUAGCUUAUACAUGCCAUUGAUUUCCAAAAUAAAGUUUCUUUAUAUACCGAAAUCCUGAGGUUGAUAGUGUGAUGUGUCUCCGACCAAAUCCGACCUCCAAGCUCUUAACACUACAAAACAGGGAAAAAGGAAACGGGGUAAGCACUUCGUGCUUAGUAAACUCAUGUAACAAAAAUUAUACUUACCUAAUAUUUUCAAUACAAUACAAUAAAUAUUCAUAUAUCCAUUCAAUGCAGUAUUACCCUAAUAUGCACAAACUCAACAUUCAAGUUAGUAUAAUAAUUUCCAUGUACCAAUAAUAUAUACCAUCAUUGAUGAGCUCAUCAAUAUCAUAAUUUCCAUUUCCUUGUUAUUUUUCCAUAUUUAUCCCGUUGAAUUUAUCGGAAUUUCGAUGGAUUUUCAGAGGUACACUUUUAGUGUACAAUUCCGGGUCCGUCAAUUCAUAUUCAUGUGCGCACAUUUCCAUUUCAGAGAGCACACUCCCGCGAACCUUAACCUUGCAGCGGGAUUACCAGUCCAGGCUAAAUCCCCUGCAACGACAAUUACUCUAAUGAUCUUGGAUCUGAAUUACUAGUCCAGGCUAAAUUCAGACCCUAAUUCGGAUUACCCGUACGGGCUAAAUCCAUUUUACACAUAUUCUUCGGGAGGGCUAUAUCAGGAUAGGAUCACCCGUCCGGGCUAGAUCCUUUUUACCGUCAAUUCCUUUUCAGAGAUCCAUCGAAUUUUCCUUUCAUUCAAACGGGAUUUCUUCCCAUUUUAUCAAAUAUAUCAAUGUUUCAUUAAUUUUCAUACAAUGAACAUUCAAAUCAUAUUCACAUCAAUAACAUACAAUCUCAAGCAAUUUAAGAAUAUAAUUCAAGUUGCACGAACUUACCUUGAUACUUGUUUGUAAACAAAAAAAAAUCUACUAAUCCCGAACUUUUUCCUUUCCUCGAUCUAGCUUCGUAUUUGAAUCUUCUGGAUCUAAAUAAAUAAAUUUAAUUAUCAAUUUAAUACAUUUCAUGUUCAUAUGCAACAUUCUCUAUAAUUCAACUAUUAUUAUUUAUAGUUUAUUCAAAGCUAUCUAUUUGAGUCAUAGUCACUAAUUAUUUAUAACUCGAUCUACGGAACUCCAAAUUAAGAUCCGUUAGUUUUCCCUGAAACUAGACUCAUAUAUAUUCUUACCAUAAAAUUUUUAGAAUUUUUAGUUUAGCCAAUAAGUACAGUUUAUUCUUUAAAGUCACCCCUGUUCUGCUGUCUGACAGUUCUGACCCUUCUUCACUAAAAAUUAAUUAUCUCUUCAUACAGGAUUCAAAUGAUGUUCUUGUUUGUUUCUAUUAAAAAUAGACUCAUUAAGGAUUUUAUGCAUAUAAAUUUGAGCCCCUAAUUAUUUUUAUUCAAUUUUUUUUUAUUUUUCAAAUUCAGAACAGGGGAACCCGAAUUCAUUCUGAUCUUGUCUCACAAAAUUCAUUAUAUCUCAAAAUUUACAAAUCCAUUGCUUACACUAUUUCUUCUAUGAGAAACUAGACUCAAUAAGCUUUAAUUCCAUAUUUUGUUCAUCUUCUAAUUCGAUUUAUAAAAUUUAUGGUGAUUUUUCAAAGUUAGUCUACUGCUGCUGUCCAAACUGUUUUUGUGCAAGCUGUUUAUUACCAUUUUUCCCCUAAGCUUUUAAUAAAUGAUAAUUUCGUCCCUACUCAAUUAGCCUCUCAAUUGAGCUGAUUUUUCUCAAUUAAAAUUUUAUUAUAUCACCUUAAACUAGUUUACAACCUUUAGGAAUCAUAAUUUCAGCAAUAGACUUUAAUUCCAAGCAUUUUCACAAUUAGGUCCUAAAAAUCAAUUUCUAUUGAAAUUACCUAAUAAAAUCAUCUCAUAAACAAAUUAAAGCUUUAAUUUCAUUAUAUUUCAUCAUAAAAUUACAAAAAUCAACCAUGGUGACUUUCAAUUUCAUACAUGAAAUCAAAAACUAAUGAAUUUAAUAGUAGGACCUAGUUGUAAAAGUCUUAGAAACAUAAAAAUUACAAGAUAAAGGCAAGGAUUAACUCACUUGGUGAAAAAGUAUGAAAUAGCAGCUUAUAUAACCCUCCUAUGGCGUUUUUAGCUGCUGGAAUUGAAGAGAAAUGAAGAGAAAUUUAGAUAUUUCCUAUUUAGUCCUAGUUUUAUUUAGUUAAUUUUGCAAUAUUCCAAUUUUGCCCUUAAUUUAUCAAUUUUCCUGCUGAUUUCAUGCCCUUUCUGUCCAGCCAUAAUAAAUUUUGGGUCUAAUUUCCUUUUAAAACCUUUAUCAUUAGACUCUUAAGCUAUUUAAUCAUUCUAGCAACUUUUACACCUAUUACAAUUUAGUCCUUUUCAUUUAAUUGACUACCCAAACAUUAAAAUUUCUUACGAAAUUUUAAUACCACAUUACUAACAUUUCAUAAAUAUUUAUAAAAUUAUUUUAGACUCGGUUUUACGAGAUAGAGGUCUCGAUACCUUGUUUUUACCCAAUUUCUUUAAUAAUUUCUUUUUCUAACUAACCACUAAAUCGGUAAAAUUUUUUCUAUCAAUAUUUUCAUAUGAUUUUCCUAUCAUAUCAAUUUUCAUGCAAAAAUAUUGAAAUAAAUUUCUCUUUAAAUUGGAUUUGUGGUUACGAAACCACUAUUACGAUAACCUUGAAUUUAGGCCAUUACAAUGUGCUUCAUGUUAUUAGGGAUUGUCCUGCAACGAGAAAUAUUUAGGAUCAUCUAAUUCCAGUCGAAUGGUAUUCUAUGUUCUAUGCAGGAAAUUUAUAUGAGUGGCUUGUGUUAAACUUGGAAAAUUAGCAUGGUUGGUGCUUCGGAGAUGUAGAUUGGCAAUAUCUAUUUGGGAUCAUCGCUUGGCAUAUUUAGAAGAAUCACAAUCUUUUCCUUUUCCAGGGUGCUCCAUGGAGUGAUAAUGAAACUAUUAAGGUGACGUAUAGUUGGGCAAAACAAUACGUCUCUUCUACAAGGGGCAUGUCAACUGAAACACGAUGUAAGUUUUCAUCUUCAUAUUUAACUAACGAUUGGGUCACAUUGAGUAAAGAUGGAUCUAUCUAGAAAGAAGUUGGUUUUGCGGCGGUAGGGGGAAUAGUGCAAGAUCAAGGUGGAACGUGGAUUCUUGGAUUUAAUAGAUAUUUGGGAAAUUUUUUUGUUUUUUAUGCUGAGUCGUGGGGUAUUUUGGAUGGUCUGAUUAUUUUAAGUGAACGGGGCUAUGACAAUGUGUUAAUUCAAUCUGACUAUCUUGAGCCGGUUACGACUAUUCAAGAGAGGUCUUCAGAAGGAUCCAAUUAUACUUUGGUUAGGAGAAUUCAUUAGAUGUUGUCAUGGUUCAAACAGUGGAGCUUUAGACACAUUUCUAGCAAGGAAAAUCAGGAUGCUGAUCAUAUGGUCAAUCUAGUCCAACAUAGAACUAAAGAUUUACGUUUGUUUGAGAUCUCCUAGUUUGAGGGAUUGGUCUGGUUUUUGUUAUAAGUUUAUUUAUUUUACUUUUUCACCAAAAAAAAAAGUUGUGGAUAAUAAAUAUUUAAACUAAUUAAUAUCAUUACAAAAAUAGAUAAUUAAAUUAUGUUAAAUUAAAAUAUAAAGAUUAAAUCAAAAUAUGAUGAUAGUAUAGAUUAAGUUGCUCCAUUAUAGUGCAGCAUGAAAAAGGACAACGGAAAAGAGUUAGGCGGGUUUAGACUUCUUGCUUUUCUUUUUGUUUUCUCUCUUGUGAUCCACGUCCGUUACAUAAAUUAUUUCAAAUUCCUUUUCAUCAAAUGUGAUUACACCUCUUUCGUCAAAAGUUUGAAAAUCCUCUUUGUAAUGUUAAAUAAGCCCUUAAAAUCUACCUUUUUUUAUUAUUAUUUACGUUUUUUCAGACUUUUCUUUUUGGUAUAAUAUUAUCUAAUAAUUAUGUGUUAGAUAUCACAUUCUUACUUAAUCACAUUAAUUUUUUAAAUAAAAUUGAUAUUUUUAUUUUUAAAAAAAAGGCAAGUUUGUAUGUUCUUAUAUGAGUUUUUUUUAAUAUAUCUUUUAAUAGAAACUUUUUAAUCGUCGGUAUUACUAGGAUAUGUUUUAAUUAAUCGAUCAACUAUCAUAUAUUAAUUUCUCUAAACACAUAUUAGAAUUUGAUAGUCCAAAUUUACCGGCAUUAUUCUUUUAUCCUUCAAAUCAGAGUCAUUGGCGGGACUUCCUUUUAAGAUAUCCUCAAGCAUAUCAGUUACAACCUUGCUAUCACAUUCAAUUAUUGUUUUAUAAUAGCUCCUCAGUCGAACUCAAAGUAAUAAUUGCCCACAAUUCAGCGGUAAGCACAGAACUUGUGUUGCUGGUAAUCUGCUGGAAAAUAAUUGCCCAUUCUCAUCAUCAAAUUGCCGAAGGGAAUCACAAGAAAUAGGAAACAAACCAAGGCUAAAACCAACAUGAUUUGGUAGCCUAAAUCAUCAUCUCUUUUGAAAUGACCAUAUCUUCUGUGAUAUCGCUUCAUUUUCUAUACAAUAUAGUACUAUCCUGGACCACCUUUCUUUUUUCAUAAAAAGAUUAAUAAUAAGAAGAAGAAGAAAAAAUAAUAAUAAUAACGUCGAGUGUUAUUCCCUAAUGCCUAUAUUAUUACUUUGAAGAACCUCUUCAGAGUGGCUGGUAAUCUGCUGGAAAAUAAUUUUGUUCCUAUUCUUCCACAAAAACCAACAAGCGACAGCAAACGUUACACCCUAAUCUGCUAUCCUCGAAUUCAAAGUAAGUGAGAAAAAUGAUAUAAUUUAGAGCUUAAUUUUAUAAUUAAGGCAAUAAUUAUUCAAAGUAAAAUUUAGAUGGGAUUCCAAAUAAAAGAAAUUAACUCCUCAAUUAGCACUUGCUUGAAGUCAGAUCUCUGGACACACCCUUCGUCACACCUUGGAUUAAAAUUCAGGUGUUAAAAGUUUGUAAAUAUAGGCAUUAGGGAAUAACACUCGACGUUAUUAUUUUUAUUUUCUUCUUCUUAUUAUUAUUAAUCUUGUUAUGAAAAAAGAAAGGUGGUCCAGGAUAGUACUAUAUUGUAUAGAAAACGAAGCGAUAUCCCAGUAGAUAUGGUCAUUUCAAAAGAGAGGAUGAUUUAGGCUACCAAAUCAUGUUGAUUUUAGCCUUGGUUUGUUUCCUAUUUCUUGUGAUUCCCUUCGGCAAUUUGAUGAUGAGAAUGGUUGUCUUUUUCAGUGGCAAGUCACUACUCCAAGCCAUGCCAAGCCAGCAAUCUUAUAUUUUAUGCCGUUACACUAUUGUUUGGAGACAAGGAAUAAAACAAUCGGGAUACGGUUGAUGAAAGUGAAAACCCCAGAAACUUUUGACUAGGUUUGCAACACUUCAGCCCAGGGUUUGAUUGAAUAACGGUGAAUGAUACUUUUUUACAUGGAAAAAAAGGCUUGCUGGUCAAGGCAAAUACUCACCAGUCACCAAAGAGCAUAUAAAUAUGCUUUUAAACAGAGAGAGGCUAGCCUUUAACAAAGUUUGGAGUAAGUUGAAACUCCAAAUCCCUGAGAGUAUUUCAUUUCGAACUUUUAUCAAGUAAAUGUUUCUCAAUCUCUCUUUUCAUUAUUCUGUUCUGUUCUUAUCUUUGUCUUUUUCCUUGGUGACUUGGGAGGGUAUCUCAAGUUUGGUUUAUGCUCAAAUGAUGCCUUUAUAGAAAAAUUUUCUUCACUUUCUGUUGCACUGCUGAUAAAGCAUAACUGCAGCUUUUGCAAAUUUGUUUUUUUUUUUUUCCUUUAGACGGGUGCUUGGGAGUCAUUGUUGCAGAGAAAUUUCCUGUUAAUAAUAGGGGAACAAUCUUGCUUAAAUUAAUUGGCUUAAAUUAAUUGAUUUGUUUGCAGCAGCCACAACAUAAUAAAUCCUAUAGAUUCUGAAGUUGUUGAGUAUCAAAGUAAUUGCUUGGGAGCCACUCAAUGGCCUCCGAGAAUGGUUUUAAUGGUGAGAAAGUUACCGACUUGCAUGAAGCCGGUACAUCGAAAAGCCAGGAAGAGUCACAGAAAGUCCCUGGCGAUAAUGGAGAAAAUCAAGAUCCUGAAAGCAGCAAAGGAGAUGAGAAAACUAACACGGUUCCAUUUUACAAGCUGUUUGCAUUUGCUGAUUCUACGGAUAUCUUAUUAAUGAUCGUCGGCACAACCGCUGCAACUGGGAAUGGUCUAUCUAUGCCCCUUAUGACAAUCCUGUUUGGGAAUCUCAUUGAUUCUUUUGGAACAAACCAGAGUAAUGGCAACGUGGUUGAAGCUGUCUCCAAGGUAUUUCUGCAUGUAGCACGAACAUAGCUGGUGUGUCUUUUUACUUUUAGUUUAUUGUUUUGUUUAAACGUCUCACAUGGGGAUUAUUAACUGAAUUCUUAAAACCAUAUCUAAGGUUUCUGUGAGAUUUGUCUACCUGGCGAUGGGGGCUGCGGCGGCUGCGUUUCUCCGUAAGAAAAUCUCUAAUUUAAAUCAUAUUGCCUGAUGUUUAAUGUGGCUUCAGACUCAUGCUGAAAAGCUUGGAUAUUGUUAUUUUUUUCAGAGGUGAGUUGCUGGAUGAUCACAGGUGAGAGACAAGCUGCACGAAUACGGGGCCUGUACUUGAAAACCAUAUUGAGGCAAGACGUUGCUUUCUUUGAUGUGGAAACAAACACAGGGGAAGUUAUUGGAAGAAUGUCGGGGGACACAGUUCUCAUACAGGACGCCAUGGGCGAAAAGGUAUACGACUAUACUAUCCUAGUCUUGACUAGGAUGUUUAGAAUCUUCGUUGAGUAAGAUGUUUUCAUUGGAAUCAUAAUACACAUGUAACCAUGGAAUAUUCACCUCUUUUUUGCAGGUAGGGAAGUUUUCACAAUUGAUAUCCACGUUCAUUGGAGGCUUUGUUAUAGCAUUUGUCAAAGGAUGGCUUCUUACUCUCGUAAUGUUAUCUGCUAUCCCUCUACUUGUAAUAUCUGGUGGAACCAUAGCCGUUAUAGUAUCCAAGAUGGCAUCCCGGGGACAAAAUGCUUAUGCUAAAGCUGCCACUGUAGUUGAACAGACAAUUGGUUCGAUCCGAACUGUAAGUUCUAUAUUAAAAAUAGUCGCAGCUAAGUUAUCAAUUUUUGCCCCUAUUUUUUGGUGAAAAUAUAUGGCCAAUCAUUGACUUGAUUCCAGGUUGCGUCGUUUACUGGUGAGAAGCAAGCAAUAAACAAUUACAAUAAGUCACUUGUUACUGCUUAUAGAUCAGGCGUUCAUGAAGGCACCGCUGCUGGAGUAGGUAUUGGCUUAGUUAUGCUAGUUAUAUUCUGCAGUUAUGCUUUGGCUGUCUGGUUUGGUGGGAAGAUGAUUUUGGAGAAAGGGUACACUGGUGGUGAAGUACUUAAUGUGAUCAUGGCUGUAUUGACAGGUUCCAUGUGAGUUUAAAUUUUGAAUUUUGUCCAUCUUCUACUUUAUUAAGCGUGCUUCAUAGGCUAAAUUCCUUGGUACCUACGGACGUUUCAGGUCUCUGGGGCAAGCAUCUCCAUGCAUGACUGCGUUUGCGGCUGGUCAAGCUGCAGCGUUUAAGAUGUUUGAGACCAUCAAAAGGAAGCCAGAGAUUGAUUCCUAUGACACGAGUGGAAAAGUGUUGGAGGAUAUUCGUGGGGAUGUAGAACUGAGGGAUGUUUAUUUCAGUUACCCUGCCAGACCAGAGGAGCAAGUUUUCAGUGGAUUCUCUCUUUCUAUUCCAAGUGGCACAACAGUAGCUUUGGUUGGACAAAGUGGAAGUGGGAAAUCAACUGCAAUCAGCCUGAUCGAGAGAUUUUAUGAUCCACAAGCCGGUGAGGUUCUUAUCGAUGGCAUUAAUCUCAAGGAGUUCCAGCUUAGAUGGAUAAGGGGAAAGAUUGGUCUUGUUAGCCAGGAACCAGUGUUGUUUACGUCAAGCAUAAGGGAUAAUAUCGCAUAUGGUAAAGAAGAUGCAACCACGGAAGAGAUAAGAGCAGCAGCUGAACUUGCAAAUGCUGCUAACUUCAUUGAUAAACUACCUCAGGUUUUAGUUUAUUGUCCGAUUAAUUUUAUUUUAUAUAUCAACUUCAAUAUAUGAAUUGCACAUUUUAAUUUACUUUUGAAACUAUGGACUCCAUGCAUAGGGACUAGAUACCAUGGUUGGAGAGCAUGGAACUCAGCUUUCUGGUGGACAAAAGCAGAGAGUGGCAAUUGCAAGAGCAAUCUUGAAAGACCCACGGAUUUUGCUUUUAGACGAAGCUACAAGUGCACUCGACGCAGAAUCUGAAAGAGUUGUUCAAGAGGCAUUGGACAGGAUAAUGGGCAAUAGGACUACUGUCAUUGUUGCUCAUCGUUUAAGUACUGUGAGAAAUGCAGAUUCGAUUGCUGUAAUUCAUAAAGGAAAGAUGGUUGAAAAAGGUAGUUAUAAUCAUAUAUUUCUUGAACUUCAUCUUAAUUGUAAGUGGAGCUAUCUAACAGACGCAUGUUAUCAAGGGGAUACAUUUUUAUUCCACUAACUAAACCUGGAUUUGCCUGCAUGUUGGUGUAUUUUCAGACAUUUUGCGUAUUUCCAUUGCAUAUCUUAAAUAUUAAGGAAUAUGUUUGUAACACGUUUAACAUAUUGCUUGUAGUUCUUAUUUCUUUUUUUUGCAUUUGCAUCAGCAGUGUUAUGCUCCACAACAACAUACUUUAUCACAGUCGAUAACAUUUCUUCGAAUUGACAGGGUCGCAUUCAGAACUACUCAAGGAUCCUGAGGGAGCUUACUCUCAGCUCAUUCGUUUACAAGAAGUAAAUAAAGGGUUGGAACAGCUUGCAGAUGUAUCAGAUGUUAAUCAAGAAUUGUUCAGACAAUCGAGCCUAAGAAGGUCAUUCAAGCGAUCAAUCAGCAGGGGAUCAUCUAGAACUAGCAGCCGCAAUUCUUCUUUCUCUCAACCUUUUGGUUUACCUACUGAAAUGAAUGUCACUGAUCCUGCAAUGUUAGAUACAGAAGACCCUGCUGAACCACCAUUGAAACAGGCUAAGGAGGUUUCUAUCCUCCGGCUUGCUUACCUCAACAAGCCGGAGAUUCCUGUGAUCUUAAUUGGAACUCUUUUUGCAGCUGCCAACGGUGUGAUACUUCCACUUUUCGGUAUCCUGAUUUCCAAUAUGAUCAAAACAUUUUAUCAACCUCCUGAUGAAUUGAAAAAGGAUUCAAGAUUCUGGGCACUGAUAUUUUUGUCCCUUGGCCUGGCAUCAUUUCUGAUAAAUCCUGCUCGAACAUACUUCUUUUCUAUCGCCGGAUGUAAAUUAAUCCAACGAAUCAGAUCAACAUGUUUCGAGAAAGUGGUCCGCAUGGAAGUUGCUUGGUUCGAUGAACCUGAUAAUUCAAGUGGUUCAAUAGGUGCAAGGCUCUCGGCAGACGCAGCCUCGAUACGUGCCCUGGUUGGAGAUGCACUAGCUCAGUUGGUCUCAAGCUUUGCAUCAGCAUUGGCUGGUUUAGUUAUUGCUUUUGUUGCAAGUUGGCAGAUGGCAUUUAUUAUCCUAGUAUUAAUCCCUCUCAUAGGGGUCAAUGGAUACAUUCAAGCAAAAUUCAUGAAGGGAUUCAGUGCAGAUGCAAAGGUAUGCCUGAAUAUUGCUUACAUAAUUGUGAAAAAUAAGUAAAAGGGGCAUAUAUUUUUAAGAAUAUUAUUGAUUUAUACAUGUAUACAUAAAUUGUUGCAGAUGAUGUAUGAGGAGGCCAGCCAAGUUGCCAGUGAUGCAGUUGGGAGUAUAAGAACAGUUGCUUCCUUUUGUGCAGAGGAAAAGGUAAUGCAACUCUACAAAAAGAAAUGUGAGGGUCCAAUGAAAACCGGGAUAAGGCAGGGUUUGAUUAGCGGAUCAGGAUUCGGACUUGCGUUCUUCUUUCUGUUUUCUGUUUAUGCAACAAGUUUCUAUGCAGGAGCUCAACUUGUUGAGCACGGCCAGGCGACAUUCACAGAUGUUUUUCAAGUGAGUUUGACAUCUUUGGAUCUUUUUUGUUAAGGCAUGCUAUUUAAUUUUGUAUGUCCCUAUGAUGCUGAAACCAAUAUUUAUUUCGCAGGUUUUCUUAGCUUUAACCAUGGCAGCUGUUGGAAUUUCUCAAUCAAGUUCCUUCGCUCCUGAUUCCAACAAAGCCAAGAUUGCGGCAGCUUCCAUAUUUGCAAUUAUUGAUCGCCGGUCUAAAAUAGACCCAAGUGAUGAGUCUGGGAUGACACUAGAAAAUGUGAAAGGGAAUAUGGAGCUUCGUGAUGUUAGUUUUAAGUAUCCAUCAAGGCCAGAUAUUCAAAUCUUCCAAGCCUUAAGCUUGUCUAUUCAUGCUGGAAAGGUAAACGAUCCUUUUGCCAUACUGAACUCGCAAACACAUCACUUAUCAACAUAUUUGUAGAGACUAAAAUCAUACACGUAUCGAUCAUUUUGUUUCUUUCAGACAGUUGCCCUGGUUGGAGAAAGUGGGAGUGGGAAAUCUACUGUAAUCUCAUUAUUGCAGAGGUUUUAUGAUCCUGAUUCAGGAACUAUCACUCUUGAUGGAGUCAAAAUCCAAACGCUCCAAUUGAAAUGGCUGAGGCAACAAAUGGGGCUUGUCAGCCAAGAACCUGUUUUGUUCAAUGAUACAAUCCGUGCCAACAUUGCAUAUGGAAAGGGAGGAAAUGCAACUGAAGCAGAAAUUAUAACAGCAUCAGAGUUGGCCAAUGCUCAUACGUUCAUCAGUGCAUUACAACAGGUUACAGAUCUUUUUGAAAAUAGUCUCCAAAUUGGCUCAAUAAUGCAACCAUUACAAAAUAGUCUCCAAAUAUGCUUUGACUAAUGACUGGUUACUGAUCUUUUCACCUAUAUAAUCCAGGGUUACGAUACCGUGGUGGGAGAGCGAGGACUUCAAUUGUCAGGUGGACAAAAGCAACGCGUAGCCAUUGCACGAGCCAUCGUUAAAAGUCCAAAGAUACUGCUAUUAGAUGAGGCUACAAGUGCAUUGGAUGCAGAAUCAGAGAAAGUGGUUCAGGAUGCACUAGAUAAAGUGAUGGUGAACCGCACGACGGUUGUAGUUGCUCAUAGGCUAUCCACAAUCAAGAAUGCAGAUGUUAUAGCUGUGGUUAAAAAUGGGGUUAUUGUAGAGAAAGGAAAGCAUGACACUUUGAUAAACAUCAAAGAUGGUUUCUAUGCUUCCUUAGUUGCACUUCACAUGACUGCUUCCACUUCGCAGUAGGACUUACAAGUGUUGAGAGUCGAAUAUUCUACUUAAUGUUACCUAUGAUUGCAUUAAGUGAUUGAAUUCAAUUUUAACUCAGCCUCUUAGAAUUUGCAAGAUAGUUGCUUGAUACAAUAAUUCAUGCAGAUAAUCAUAUAUUAAUACCCAGAGGCAAAUGCUGUUUUCAUGAUACGUUUGCUCGUUCCUUUGAAUCCUACGGAAGAAAGAGUCAGAUUUGAUGAGAUAAACCAUGGGAAAAUUAAAGAAACUCUACUGCAUGUCUUAUAAUGAUGGAUAAUGGCCAAAGCAAUUUUUUUUAGAAUAAAGUAGAGAAGUUUGAAGAAAAAUGUUUAGGUUUUUAAAAUAUCAUUAUUCCUCGUUAUCGUUUUUAUUUUGCUCAAUCAAUUUUAACGGUGUGAAUAUUUCAAAAUAUAUACGUACCACUUCUUCCUCUCUUUUUUUUUUUUGCAAUUUUAAUCCAUUUUUAGUUACUUUUUUUCAUUUUACUUAUAAAAUUUUUAAUUCUUUCAUAUAUUUUUCAAAUAAUAUUUCAACUAUAAAUAUUAUUAAUUGAGUAAAAUUAACAUUUUUCUAUUACAUUCAAAUCAAAAUGUUACCUUUAUACAAUUUUAUCAUUUAAUUAAUCUACAUGUAUUAAUUAUUUACUUUAUAAUUAAAUUAAAUCACUAUUAAUUAUAAAAAAAUUAUUAAAAAUUAAUACUAUGUAGAAUAAACGUUUAAAUUUAAAUCUACAUAAAGAAAAAGCCAAACAGUGAUAAAAUUGAAUGCAAUUAAAAUCAAAUUAAAUUAAUUAAAAUUGAAUUAGUGAUGAAAUCGCACAUGUCGUAAACUGAAAAUGACCAAAAAGAGAGUUAAAACAUCACUAGAAAAAGUGGCGGAUUUGGGGGCCAAAAAAAAGGUUGAAGCGCAGACACACAUUUUUUUUAAUUUUAUUUUGUUAAUAGUAACUUAAUUUGUACUAUUACAAAUAAGUAUAAAAUAGUGUUAGCUUUUUUUUUUAAAUAUUUUAAUUUAUAUAAGCUAUUUGAUUUAUUCUUUCAUAUUUAAUUUUAAAAUGAAAUAUUUAAAAUUACUUUUAAUGACCAUAUAUAGAAACUUAUCUUUAAGAAUUGAAUUAAAGACAUACUUAAAACAAAUGGUGGCAAACUUUUAUGAUGGAUAUUAUUUAAAAAUAUUUUAUUUUAAAUUUUUUAAAUUUAUUCUAAUAUCAAUUAUCAUGAACUUACAUAUUAUUAUGUUUUAAUUUUAUAAUCAUUUUGUUAAUAAAUCGUUGCAAAAUUAAAAAUAGUUAUGACAUAAUUAAAUAAUUAAACAUUUAUUUUAUUUUCACUUUCUCAACCAUACUAUUUUUAUAUCAAAUUUUAAAAACAAUAUAAUAUAUUUUAAUUAAUACACGAUAGUAAUGAAAAUAAUUUAAACUAUUAUAUAAUAAAUAAAUUAUUUUAAAAUAAUAUAUAACAGCUAUUGAUCUUUUAUUUACUUAAAAAUAUAUUUUAAAAAUUAUUAACUAUAUUUUUUAAAAGUAUUAGGACUUAGGAGUCGUAAUAGUACUUAUCCGGAUAUUCCCCCAAAAAAUUCGUAGCCAGUUUUCCUGCCCGUGGCUUUUUACUAAUUUUCAGGAUUUUUUUAUUUACAAAUAAGGACAAGAAGUGAUCGUUAGACCUAUGUGGCAAUUAGAGAGACAACGUAAAGCCACAUGGCAGAAAAGCCUCUAGGAGCUGGCAAAAUCCUAGCCGUCAAUAUUCGGAUGAUGUCAUCGCACCGCUGAUAUUAAAAAAGAAACGCAUGCCAAAGUGCCAGUAAAGCGUGGCAAACCGAAUUCCUCACGAGCGCGCCACCGCCAAGCGCAACAAUCCUUCCACAUCAGCUUUAGAUUUAAUCGAACCACUAAUAGCGUGCCACAUGUGCUAUUUCCUUCCCUUCCAGGAAACUGAAACCGUUCAAGGCAACGUAUAUUCAAUAUAUGAAUGCAUUCUUCUCAAUCCAUUCUUAUAUUUUCCAAGCUAAACGGGAAUCGAAACCAUCUGAUUCACGCCAUGGAGACCUCUGGCAUUGUUUGUAAGACAGUUUCAAGGUUGCCGGCGGCUAGGGUUGAUUUUAGCGGACGGUUAUCCAGGGAAUUGAAUCAUGGUGUUGGAGAUUCCAGGGUUUCAGUUAGGCCGAGGAUUAAAUCUUGCAGGAGAUUGAGUUGCCAGUUUUCUGAUUUAGGGCAUGUCCAGUAUUAUGUGUCACCGAGGGGUGGUGGUGGUGGCGAUGCCACGAAGAAAGACAAGGGAAAGAGCUGUGAGAUUAAACAAGUCAAGAACAAGCUGAAGCUUCUCAAGCGGUUGUCCAAGGACUUGUCCAUGCUUCCUCAGAUUGCUAAUGGCGAGGAUACUAGGAUUGGAUUGGCCGCUGAAGUUAAGGCCACGAUCAUUCAUGUAAGAUAUUAAUUUUCCGUCUUCUUUUUCUACUUCUGUUUUUUUGUGAUUGCUUUGAUCUGGUUCGUGCCGUGACAAAAUGGUUUAAUUGCUCUUUAAUUAAACUAAGAAGCUUUCUUUGUAUGAGAAUUGUGAAAAAAGAAAUUUUGAAGUGGGAUUUUUGUGAUAUAUUGGAUUAAAACCUCAUAUGUUGUUUUGUUCUUUCAGGAAGCAAGCGGUGUUUUGCAGGCCCAACUGCAAAAGUUGAAAUCAGAACAAAAGGAGUUGAAGAGAAAAUUGAAAGAGGAACGAGCCAAGCUCAAAGCCACUUUUGGGAAAUCAGAAUCAUCAUCUUCCUCUGAAUCAAGUGACAGCGAAUGUGGGGAGGUAGUUGACAUGAAAGCCCUGAGAAACAAUGCUUUGAAACCUUCCCUAGAGGCAGAAACACCAAUUGGCAAUGCUUUGAAACGACCCGAAGAGAUAGUUAUAGAAGCUCCAACGGUGGCAGAGGAAGCAACAUUAGCUAACUCGCUCAUGGAACUAGAAAACUCAGAUUCAAGCCCCCAAAUUCGAAUACGAGUUCCUCUUGCUGGAUUGGAUGGUGAAUGUUGCAGUUCAAAUGGCUUCAAGGAUGGGCAGAGCAACAUCCUUGUGGAAGGGACAUCAACCAAGCAGAUUGAAGUUUGCAUGGGUGGCAAGUGCAAGAAGAUGGGAGCUGCGGCGUUGUUAGAAGAGUUUGAAAGGAAGUUGGGGGAAGAGGGCACUGUUGUGGCGUGCAAAUGCAUGGGGAAGUGCAAGACCUCUCCAAAUGUAAGGGUCUUGAACUCUCAAACGGAAACUACAACAAGAAUCAAUGAAGACUCUGUUAGACUUGGGAUUAAUCCUACAUGCACGGGUGUCGGGUUGCAAGACGUUAACCUCAUCGUUGCAAAUCUUUUGGGCAAGAACAUAGAUGAUGAAUGUCUGGUGCUCUCUUCUUGAGACUUCAUUUUGUUUCAUUCUUCGAUUACGAUCAUGAAUUUGUUAAUAGUGUGAAUAGGGGAAAUAUAGUGGAUGAGCUAUUGGCAUGGAUGAAACUACUUUAAAUCUAGGCUCUAGCGAUCUAGAUGAUAAUGUAAAAUGCUUUUAUCUUUCAGUUUUAGAGUAAUGUCGAAUGCAGCUUGAGGUUUUUAGUUUGUUCUGCAAAAUUUGUGCCAAAAUUUCAUCAUUUCCCUUCUUUCCGCUCUCCUCCUCCUCGGUUUUCCAAUCGCAGGUUCUAACAUAAAAUUUGGUAAUGCAUUACUACCGAUGAACAAGCCACUAAUCGAUUCGCAGUGACUAUAUAGAUAAACAUGCAAUAAUUUCACCAAUUUAAUGUCAAAAAGGAUGUUGGCAGAUUUGGGAUUUGAUUGUGGCUCCAAAGGUUAAGAAUUUCGUGUGGAGAGUUUGUCAUAAUCUUAUUCCUGCUAAGAACGUUGUUUCCAACAUGAUUCGGAACAUGAUUCGGAAUUGUUGGAACACAUUUUUUUCUCGAUUUGAAGUUUAAUUACAAAACAAGCCAAGAAGGCUUGUCUAGUUUUAAGAAAUGCUGGGGAUGAUGUUGCCAACCUUCUCGCUAUGUUUGUCUCUAUUGAUAUGAAGGAGCUUGUUUUGUUUGUGCAGUUGGCCUCUAUGGAAGGCCAGAAACUGUUCUGUUUUUUAGAACAUCCUCAGGAGGCUUUUUGAGUUGUGUGAACAGGGAUCUCUCUGCCUCUUACUGGGGCAGGAAGUGACUGCAAAGAUUCACUAAAUUGGCAAAAUUCUCCUUCGCCUUUGAUUGAAGCUUAAUUGUGAUGCAUAAUUUGAUAUUGCGGUGAUUUGCUUAAUUGUGAUGCAUAAUUUGAUAUUGCGGUGAUUUGCAGGGACUAUAAUAGUGAUAACGCUCGUACACCUCUGCUGAAACCAUGGUGAUAACACCCGUACACCUCUGCUGUAACCAUUGCAAUUCGUCAACUCUGCCCCUUAGCAAGUCAAAGAGGUUGGUCUCAUGUUUUUGUGAAGUCUUGAUUGACUGCAGCUUAUUCAAAAAUUAAAGAAGUCAGUUUCUUGUAAAGAUUGGAAAAUAUUGCGAUCCUAUUGUAAUAUUGUGUUUUCUUGGUUAGCUGGUAUGGCAGGGUAGCGCCCACACCUUCUGACUUGCUCAUUCUUUUGUCUAAUGUAAUCUGAGGCUUCAUGCCGUUUUCAUGAAUGAAAAAUGACAAUGCUGUUGGAGGAUAACGCAUGAAGAUGUCUUGAUAAAUGCUAAAGACGCUUGCUUUAUGGAAUUCAUAUCAGACAAGGAUAUACCGAUUACACAUACAUAUAAAUUCAAAAUAUUGCGAUACAAUUAAUGAACAACAUAUUUCAGCUGAAAGCAGGUUUAACUGCUAAAAAAUGCUGGAUUCAUUCAUACAUUUAUUAUUGCCGAACUACAAGGGAUUGAUACAAAGCCCUAGGCACCUGUCAGACUACAUUGGCAAAAAGUUAUUCCAAAACGCUUUCGCGGUUCCAAGAGGCACACAUAAUAGCUACUUCUUCUACCUUCUCUUUCCCAAUCAUUUUUGGUUCUUUAAAAACUGUGUGAUGUCGCAAGCAUCAGAAAACUGGCAAAGCACGUACGUUAUUCCAUGGAAAGCUGCUCCAACCUUUAUGACUGCCUGACAAGCGCAAAUAGAAGAAAUCAAGGUACAUAAUCUUCUGGAUUAGAAUAAAUUUCAUACAAAUUGAGAAGGCACAUUAAGUUAUAUCUAGCAUGAAAUCAACUGUCCCAAGCCCCCUUUUUGCCUCUCCUUUCCACCUCCUGUGAAUAUAGGUUCCCUGGAUUAUUAAUGCAUCAGUAUGAGCAGUACACUACUAAGUUUUUAGAAAUGUCAUUCAGACAUAUAUACUCUCUGGUUACUAAUAUUAACCUAAUUCCAGUCUUCCAUUAGUAUUGUGAUAUAAACAAAAAAGAAAGCAGAGAAAAGAUCCAAGAGGAAUAGGCAGGUUAAGACAUUUCACAUGCAAUUUCAUCAUGGUGCAAUUAAAUCAGAAUCAGAAUACUUCCACAGGCAUAGAGAUAUUGAAGAAAUAUUGGUUUUUCCUAGUAAUAGAUUUAGGAGCAUAAGACUUUCUACAGGAACACAAUUAAUAAUAACAAGAAACACUAACUCGGUCUUAGGUUUCAACAUUAUAUAUGUUCUCAUUAAAGAUAAAGAGCAACGAUGAUUAGCUUUAAGCAGGCAAGUAACACUUCUUAACAGAAAAUGCCACAAAAGCAAUCCAACAUUGAGCAAAUUAAGUCAAAGAAAUUACCUCUUCAUUCCUUAAAAAGCAUUUUGCAAGUCUUCCCAUCCUCGACUAACUGAUUAAUAGCAUCCCUUAACUUCUCAUAAUCCUCCAAUGUAUUAUAAACUUGAUGAGAAAUUCGCACAUAUCCCGUAAUAAAUCCAUCCUUAUCUCUAACACCCUCUUCCCCAUCCUUUGGAACCUGAUGAAAGAUUGGAACUUCAACCUCAUAACAAUCCCGCAAAUGUGACCUCAACUUCAAAGCAUCCUUCUCACUAUUAAGGCACAACCUCGACGGCAAACCAACCAUAAUCAUUGCAGCAGACAUCUCCGGGGGAGACCCUAAAUUUGUCCCCCAUGAUUCCGCCAACAUCUUCCCCAUCUUCACCACUUGAUCAUGGUUCCUCUUCAUUAUCCCCUCAAUCCCUCCUUCGAACCUGUUAACAAACUCCAAAACUGCAGGAACAACUAACUGAGAACUAUAAUCCCUAGUCCCAGUCCAGGCGCUUUCGAUAGGCAACCCAUUUCCAUACUCAUGUGAAACAACAGGGUGAUGCAAAUCAGAUGAUGUAGUCGAUUUAUUACAGUAUAAAAAUGCUACAGAAGGCGGGCAAAAGAACCAUUUAUGUAAAUUGCUAACAUAAAAAUCAGCUCCAACUUCUUUAACAUCCACUUUCACACUCCCAAUAGCGUGAGCCGCGUCUACGAACACCUGCUCUAUUCCUUCCGCUCUACAAAUCCUAACUAACUCUUUUACCGGAAUAACAACCGAUGGCAUUGAUGUAAUAUGAUCGAUAAUCGCUAACCUUAUCCUUCUACCGUUGGAUUUUCCUUCGUCGAUCGAUUUUUUGAGUUCGGAUAUGAUUUCUACCUCUGAAUUUACCGGGAAUGGUAGCCGUACCUCAAUGACGGAGCCGCCGGCCCGGGUGACGUACGCUUGGAUUGAUUUUUUGACGGCUUCAUACGCGCAGUGGAGCAUCAAAACAGUGUCAUUUUUCUGGAACUUCCCUUCGGCGAAACUGCGGCCGAUCCGUUGGAGCACGAUGGCCGCAGCGGUUGUGGCGUUAUCGACGAGGGAGACCUCGUCGACGUGGUCAGCGUUGAUGAGGUCCUUUAUAAUUUUCCGCGAAGCCGUUAUUCCGUCACGAAGGGAAUUAAAGUAAAAGGCAUCAGGUUGACGGAGGAACUGUAGCUGCCAAUGGCGUUGGGCAGCAAGAACCGAACCGGGACAGCUACCGAAACUCCCGUUGUUGAUGCGUGCGACACGUUGGUGGUGGUGAGAGAAUUCGUCUCGGAUAUCCGACUCGGUAAUGAACUGAGAUGAAAUUUUGGGUUUCUUGGAGCUGCGGUGAGUCGACUCACCGUUUCUAGGGUCAUCGUGCUGCAUCGGCGGAGAUAAGGAGCAAAUGGAAGCAAAUAAAAGGAAAUUAGGGUUUUGUCGUGAAAAUGGGCAUGAUUUUAAGAACUGGACAGUCGAUAGCUACCAAACAGUGGUAGUGCCCUUUUCUUGGUUUUAUUUGGUAUUUUUUUUCCAAUAAAAGGUUACCGUAUUCGUUUCCAGGGCAAGACUGGGACCGAUGAUAAUUGAAUAGAUAACGAUGAUGCAAGCAAUACGUCUUCGUUUCUUUUCCUCUAAACAAUUUGGGGAAUAUGCAAGUCCAGGGGUCAUGAGCUUGACACGUAGGAAUGUAGAAGCGGCGUCGUUUCAAUGAAGAACACGUCACACUGUAUGCUGUCAACAGCGGUCGACCAAUCAAAAGAAGCGAUCGAGCCAGCAGUGCAAAAUGAACCAUUACCGUAGGUUGAAAUGGGAGAUCAAUGACAAUGGCAACGGGCUCUGUUUCUGGUGCUCCCUUCGCUUAAUCUUAAGCGCCGAAAUCCCAACAAGAGACGGAGAAGAAAGAGAGAGUUAGAUCAAGAAGAGUCAAACAUAGCUAGGGUUCCAACUCCUUGAGAAUUCAAAUAAAACACUCUUCUUUCUUUCUUAUCCCGUCUCGUAUCAGGUUGGGAUUUUCUUAAUUUUCUAUUAUAUUCACAAAACCUAAAUUUAAUCUCAUUUCUUUUUCGAUUUUGGAUUUUAGAUUGGACUUCGGAAGAAGGGAUUGUAUUGAAGCUCGAAUUGAGGUGAAGAUAGGGAGUUAAGUGAUCAAAUUCCCCCAUUUUUUUAAUCCUGUGAGGUUACUUGUGGUGAGUUUUUGGGGCAUUAUUGAAUCUUAAUUGAUAUCUUGAAUUGGGUUUCCUUCAAAAUCCAAUCUUGUUCUUUGUUUGUUUAUGGAGUUUUAAGGUUUUCUUCCGGCUUUUGCCGGUGAACAUUGCGUUGAAGUUCUUCGCAAACGCUUUAAUCCUGCACCUUUGAUCCUCUUCGAAGAGCUGGAAUUUGAUCGGCAUUAUAUUCAAUUAAGGGAAACUUUCAAUUGCAAUGGCCACUCCGCCACAAGCUUCCCCUGGAUACUCUAGAACAAUUACUCCUCAGAUGGAUUCUCUUUCGUCUAAACCUGAUCAAAGUGCAAUGUCUCCUGCUCCUCCCACAAUCUCCUCUGGGGCACCUAGGUUUCCUCCGCCAAUUUCACAACAGGAUCAGAUCCCUUCCCCUUCAAUAAAAUUAUCCACUAUGCUAUCUCCAGCAAAUGGAGUCAAUACUGGAAGCUCUGUUCCCCAUAUGAGUACUCCCCCUGGUCCCCCUGUAUUUGCAUCACCAGUCCGGCCUGCUGCUGUGCCUUUCCGAACCUCUCCUGCAACUCCUCAGCCAGUUGCUUUCUCAUCAGCUUCGUCUUUGCCCACAUCUUCUCCUCCCUAUUUUUCAAAUGGGUCGGUGGAGCUGCAACAGCAACUUCCCAGUGCUAUAGAGGAACCUGUGCCUGAUGGAAAGUCACCAUGUGUUUUAUUCUCGGCUCAUAAGGUAUCUUUCUUUCCUUGUCGGAUGAGAUGUAAAGCUAAUAUAUUUUUAUUGGUCUUAUGGCGAGUUUUUUUAUGUUUUUUCUAUCAAAGUCUUGAAUAUCUUUUUCAGAAUUUUAUGAUUAUGUACAUAUUAUCAAAUUUUACAUCCUAUUGAUCUUUGCAGUUAUAUGCACUAUUUCUAUCCAAAAUUUAUUUAUCCUUAUUUUGUGGACCAGGUGUUGAAACACAAGAAACAAGCAAACGUACCUAGCUUAGGUUUUGGAGUACUGGUUUCUCCUGGGAGGGACACUUCACCUGGUCCCCAAGUGAUACAACGUGAUCCUCAUCGAUGCCUUGAUUGUGGAGCUUAUUCGAAUUUAUACUCCAACAUACUAAUUGGCUCAGGCCAAUGGCAGUGUGUAAUUUGCGGGAAUCUAAAUGGAAGCGAAGGUGAAUACAUAGCAUUGAGCAAGGAAGAGCUUCGUAAUUUUCCUGAGUUAUCAUCACCUUUGGUUGAUUUCAUUCAAACAGGGAAUAAGAGGCCAAGUUUUGUUCUGGUUACUGAUUUAAGAACUUCUGCACCAGUUUUUCUUGUCAUAGAUGAAUGUUUAGAUGAGCAACACCUUCAGUAUUUACAGAGCUCCUUGCAUGCAUUCGUUGAUUCACUGCCACCAACAACUAGAAUUGGAAUCAUUUUGUAUGGUCGUGCAAUAUCAGUCUAUGACUUCUCAGAGGAAUCCAUUGCAUCUGCCGAGGUGAUUCCAGGUGGAGCUUCACCAACUCAGGAGGCUUUGAAAGCAUUGAUUUAUGGGACAGGUAUAUACUUGUCCCCAAUGCAUGCUUCAAAAGAGGUGGCACACCUGAUAUUCUCCUCUUUGAGGCCUUACAAGUUGAAUGUUCCAGAAGCAUCAAGAGAUAGGUGCUUAGGUACUGCAGUUGAGGUUGCUCUAGCUAUUAUUCAAGGUCCAUCUGCAGAUUUUUCACGAGGUGUAGUUAAAAGGCCAGGUGUUAACAGCAGAAUCAUUGUGUGUGCUGGUGGACCAAAUACAUAUGGCCCUGGAUCUGUCCCUCAUUCUUAUACUCACCCUAAUUAUCCUCACAAGGAAAAGACUGCAAUAAAAUGGAUGGAGCAUCUUGGUCGUGAGGCUCAUCAACAGAACACAGUCGUAGACAUUCUCUGUGCUGGAACUUGCCCUGUAAGGGUUCCUGUGCUGCAGCCUCUUGCAAAAGCUUCAGGAGGUGCUUUUGUUCUCCAUGAUGAUUUUGGUGAAGCCUUUGGUAUGAACUUACAAAGGGCAUCAGCCAGGGCUGCUGGUUCCCAUGGUUUGUUGGAGAUUCGCUGUUCUGAUGAUAUUCUUGUUACUCAGGUUGUCGGUCCUGGUGAAGAGGCACAUAUAGAAAACCAUGAAACCUUUAAGAAUGAUCUUUCUCUCUGUAUUCAAAUGCUGAGUGUCGAAGAAACACAAUGCUUCUCCAUAUCAAUGGAGAAUAGACAUGACAUCAAGAGUGAUUUCGUUUUUUUCCAGUUUGCCAUUCAGUACUCAAAUGUUUAUCAAGCUGAUAUAACUAGAGUGAUUACUAUCAGGUUGCCAACUGUUGAUAGUGUUCCAGAAUAUCUUCAAAGUGUUGAAGAUGAGGUGGCUGCCGUCCUAAUUGCCAAGAGGACUCUCUUGGGAGCAAAAAGUCAUUCUGAUGCAAUUGAUAUGCGUACAACAAUAGAUGAAAGAGUUAAAGACAUUGCUUUAAAAUUUGGCUCUCAAGUGCCGAAGUCAAAGCUUUGUCGGUUCCCAAAGGAAAUCUCUCUACUACCAGAGUUUCUAUUCCAUCUUAGGAGGGGUCCAUUGUUGGGAAAUAUAGUUGGUCAUGAGGAUGAGAGAUCUGUACUGCGGAAUUUGUUUUUGAAUGCAUCCUUUGAUCUUUCACUUCGCAUGGUUGCCCCUCGCUGUCUGAUGCAUCGGGAAGGAGGCACUUUUGAAGAAUUGCCAGCUUAUGAUCUUGUCAUGCAGUCUGAUACAGCAGUUGUUCUAGACCAUGGUACAGAUGUCUUCAUUUGGUUGGUAUGUAAAUUAAACCAUCUUUUAGUUUUGGCUUGUAUAUCUGCUAUAGUUGCUUCUGUGUUGUUCAUCUUUGACCAUAGAGCCUGGCAUUCAUGUUUGUGCUAUGUGGUUCAAUUCUCACGUUGUGAUUGAAUAGGAGACCCAAAAAUUUACGUAGUCUGGGUGUUCCUAUGCCACUCAUGAACAACCAUCGUGCCUGGUUAUUAUUCAGAAUUGUAUUUCUUUCUGUUAAUAUUAGGCCACGGUAGAAAAGUGAUGAUGGCCUGAUGUAGGGGGAACAUGGUUGGAAAGGCUUGGAAGUGAGAAGCUAUGCAUGAUUUGCUAAAUGCACAAAGUGAAUAUGAUCGUAGUUACGUCAUCCAUCUAACAUGUUUUUUAUCAUAUUCACUUUUUUAAGUUAUAUGUAUACAUACCCUGUGAUAUAUGACCCUGGAUGAAUUCAUUUCCCUUUUCACUCUUCUACUUGUAUGUGUUAGCAUGGUAUGUUUUGAGGGAGAAAUUGAUGGAUUGCUAUGCUUGAAUUGUAUUUAGAAACUAUAUUUAUUUAUUUCCGUGACAAUAUUGAACAUCUUCCUGCCAACUGCUGGGUCAGGGUGCUGAACUUGCAGCAGAUGAAGGAAGAAGUGCUGCAGCUUUGGCAGCUUGUAAAACAUUGGCAGAAGAGCUUACAGAGUUACGAUUUCCAGCUCCUCGCAUCCUUGCAUUUAAGGUUCUUUUUCUUUUAAAUUGCCCCAACCUUCUAUUAACUGUGCAUUGUCACGGUUUUUUUUUUUUAGCUAUCAGAAAGAAAAGAACCUAAUGAUGUGGUUUGUCGCAGGAGGGAAGCUCUCAGGCUCGAUAUUUCGUUUCUCGGCUGAUACCAGCACACAAGGAUCCUCCUUACGAGCAGGUAAGAGGAAAAUGGGAAAGCCUUUUCGCUUUUGGUCAUAAUAGGCCUAUAUCUAUGUCUGUAUUUUAUUGAAAAUGAGUAUUUAGAAAAAAAUUAACAAUGGCGUGAUACGUAUGCAGGAGGCAAGAUUUCCACAGCUUCGAACCUUGACAACAGAACAGCGGACAAAACUGAAAAGCAGUUUUAUUCAUUUUGAUGAUCCUAGCUUCUGUGAAUGGAUUCGGAGUUUGAAAGUGGUGCCACCAGAACCAAUCUAGGAGAUGUUUUACCUUUUUUCGCCAAAAGGGGGAGUCCCAGAGAGUUGCAUCCAACCAUCAUUUAUUGGGAUUUCUACUUCUUUUUGUUCUUCUCCUUGUGAGGGGAUUGUAAAUGUAACUCAUUCAUGUUUUCUUUUUUCGUUUCUUUUUAUUAAUUAUUAUUAUUAUUUUCUUUUCUUGCUCUCUCUUUGAUAAAAAUAUCACCCUCAUUUAAGCUUCAAAUAAACAGCUAUACUUAAUAGAAACUACAAAGUUUUUAACAUUUUUCACUUUCUUUGCUUAAAAUGCUUUAGUAGAGAGCAAUAGUUUCACUUUACUGCUACCCUCCUGUUUUGGCUUUGUGUCCUAUUCCCCAAUUUAAUUUAAAAAAAUAUAUUUUUUCAUAUAUGUAGAAAAUCAUAUUUUUAUAUUUAUGUUUAAAAAUAUAUCCGAAUACAAUUGCUUAGGUUUUGUGUUGUAAUUUUUCAAACAAAAAACAGAUCUCAAUCAUGUGAGGCUUUUCUGCUGGUUUCUCAUAGAUAUCAAUUUCUACAUUUUAAAUCCCUUUCAUUACCAUAGGGACCAUAACAACAUAGAAUUAAAAAAUAAUAAUAAUAAACAGCUCUUUCAUUCCAUUCUGACUGCAAAAAAGAAAAAAAAAAAAAAAAACUGGCAAGUCAUAUUGAACUUGAAGCAGAGCCCUUUAAUUGGGUUCGUCACCAUCAAGAAUUUCCUCCAUGAUUUGAUUGAUAGCACUUCCUCGAGCCUAUAGUUUAAAAGACAAAUAUUUCAGCACAUAGUCAAAAACACCCUAGGUUAAAAAACAAUCAGCAAAUUCGAGAUCCUAACCUUUACUCCAAUUGCAACAGCUGUUUUUAGCUUUACAAGCUCACCCAAUCUUAAGGACCCCUUUUUAUCAUCUUUAACAAUGAUCAACGGUACCUUUCUUGAUUUAGCCAACGUUGGCAGGUGCUUCGUCAGCCACUUUGGGUUGCAAUCAGCAGCUAACAAUAUAGCCUACAAACGCAACAAACAUACACCAAGUCUCGAGCUACUUAACAGCAAACGUACAAGCAAUAAAAAACUAACCCUAGCUGCUUGUUAAAACAUGGGUAAAACCAGGAUAGCUAACCUGAAAUCUAACAAAAGGUGAUUGGGCAGUGCUCCCGUCGUCAAUAAUGGCUGCCAUCCGUUCAAGUACACGUGUUACGUCAUUAACACCGAUUGCAAAUUGUUGCUAAAAAUGCCACAAAUAUUAUAAUCAGACAAUAAUAAAACCACAAGGUUAGUCGAAAAAAAUGAGUACAGCAUUGGCUAAGACAUCAAACCUUAAGCCACACUUUUUCAGGCAAGGAGUUUCCAGCCAGCGCUCUGGCUGACUCUAUCCCUCUGUUCAUUGAAAUAACAUAAUAAAAUUUAACUACGUAAAACAACAAGUAGUUGAAUUGAAAAAAAAAGGGUAUUUGUUAAUCGAAGCUAAUUGUUUCGAAUUAUUUACCUUCGGAUUGAUUCAAGCACGUGAAUGAGCCGUUCUCCUUCAUAGCAACUUUCAGGACCCGAAGAAAAAUAAAAAAGUAAGAAAUCAAAAGACAGUUUUUAUAAAAUCUAAUGAAAUUAAAAGAGACAUACUCUUGCUGUUGAGGAAGGGCGCCAUCCUGAAUGUUGUUUUUGGCCGCCUUGUUUCUAGGCGGCAUGUUUCUUGUUUGCAGAGUUCGCUCGCUACUUCUUCGAUGAAAAGUUCAUAAGAAAUCUAUUUAGAAAAGUUCAUUGAACUUUAUGGGGUAUUAUGGUCCUAAAAUUGGCCCAUUUAUAUAGUUGUCAAGUUAAUAGGCCCAUGGCUAGUUCCAAUCUUGCAUGGCUAUAACAUUUUAAAAAAAAAAUUCAUUCCUUCUAAAAAAAAAACUAAACCAAAUCCAAUGAUCCAAAAAAGGAAAAGUUUAGGCUUAUUAUCCAAAGAGAUGGAAAAAAAUAGAGGUAAGCAAUGAUAUUAGCAAAGUGUGACCGGUUUAAAUAUACUACAAUCUAUUCUUUCAAAUUUUAAAAUUUAAUCUUUAUAUUUUAAUUUAAAGGACAUUAAAUAUUUAUAUUUUUUUAUUUAAAAAUUUUGGUCUCUCCGUUUAAUUCCGUCAUUAAAGUUAACCAUGUCAAAAGUAAAAUAAUUUUUUAACGCUCAAUAAUUAUAUUUUUAUCAAUUUGGUCCUUUUACUUUAAAAUUACAUAAAAUUCUUAAAAUAUUAUUUUCAUACUUUAAAUAAAAUUAAUAAAAAUUAAAAAAUAUAUAAUUUUUAUAAAAUUUUAAAAAUGGUUUUAAAAAAUAUAAAUAAAAAUUUCAAAUCUCAAUGUUAUCUAAAUCAGACUGAACCAACUAGUUCGAUGGGGAACCUGUUGGGUAUCGGUCCAAUGAGAGGUAAAAAAAUUAGUUGAUUUGCGAAUCGAUACAGAUUGGUUGAAUCAAGUGAAAAAUCAGUUGAACCGAUUUUGAAUUGGUCUAACAAAUUGGUUCUAAACAACCAGCCCAAUCAUUUCAAAACAAAUAAAUUAUUAAAAAUUAUAAAGAUAGAUUCAAUUGCCAAUUCAACUAUGCUUCAGUCCGGUUCAACUAGUCUAUAUCGAUUCAUAGGUCUAUCGAAUUUUAAAACUUUAAAACUUUUUUAGCCCUCUACAUUUAUAGUUUUUUUGACAAUUUGGUCCAUACUCUUUAAAAGUAUGCAAAUUUUUUAGGUAAACUACCUAACUAGUAACUCAACUUUUUAGGUGCUUUCAUUUUGAUCACUCAAAUAAAAAAAUUUCAAAUUGGUCGCUACCGCUACAAUAAUUUAUUGUUUUGGUCACCUAUCCAUUUUCUCAUUAACGAAGCCUGAUGUGACAUGACACAUAAUGUGCAUAUAAUUAGUCCUUGUAGGCUGAUAUUUUCCAUGUAAGUAUAUAAAUAUUUUAAAUCCAUUCUCUUCUUUUCUUUUCACCAUAAUGUAAAAGCUCUAAUCCUAAAAUUAUCUUUUUUCAUAAACUUUCUAGUAUGUUUUCUCUAAACGAAUUUCCUGAUAGAUGCAAUAAUUGUAAGCUUGCAAGACAGGUUUGUUCUUUGGGAGUGUUCUCAAUGAGAUUAUUGUUUGAAAGAUCCAUGGUGGUAAUUAGUUAAAGAAUGUGGUAUAUUCAUGGAGUCUCCCUUUCAUACUAGCAAUUCGCUCCUUAAAAACUCCCAUUAACGAAGUAAUCAAUAAUUGCAUUUGUGUCAUCUGGUUUGGCAACCAUUGCAGUUAAAUUUUGGAAACAUUUUGGUAUUUCCCGACAAAUUGUUCACACCAAGGUCCAAGAUUUGCAGUGAACUAGGCUCUCAAAGCUCACAAUUUUGGGUAAGGGCUUUUACGUUACCAAAAAAUAGGAGAAGAAAAUAGAUUUAAAAUAUUUACAUAAUUACAUGGAAAUGUCAGCCAGCAAGGACAGACAUCACGUGUCAUGCCAUAUCAACUUCCGUUAUUGAGAAAGUAAACGAGUGACUAAAAUGAUAAAUUAUUUGAUCAAAUUGAAAUAUUUUUUUAUUUGGGUGAUCAAAAUUAAAGCACCCAAAAUAUUAAGUGAUCAACUAAAUAGUUUACUUAAUUUUAAAAAAAUUAAAUUAUAAUAUAUUUAAAAAAUAUAUAUUUUUUAAAAAAAUUAUAAAUUAUAAAAAAUAUAUAUGAAAACUCUUUAAAAUUCAAAAACAAAAAAUAAAAAGAUUUUUUAAAAUAUAAAAAAUUAAAAUUUAAUGUUAUUUAAAUUAGAUUAAAAAUUAAGUGUGCAUCGUAUGAUGAGAAUUCAGAUUAAAAAAUCAGUUGAAUUGGGAGUUUGGCUUUUGAUAUUUUUUUUUCUGGAUAAUACUAAAACUGAGGGGUUGAAACAUUGGAGUGCCUUCAAAGUCUUAACCCAUUAAAGUAGAAGCCCAAAUCACCUUAGUUAUCAUAAACCUCGGAUGAAAGGGUAUUUUAUCAAUCAGACGAUAUCAUUUCACUACUAAUCAAAUUCAUUAAUUUAUUAAAUAAAAACACUUAAUUAAAACAUAAAUAAGUGCUUGUCCAUAAUUUUACUAUACAUGUGUAUCUCUUCGUAAAAAACUUUAAAUUUAAUUAUUAUGUAGAAAGAUUUUCUACAACACAAGAAAUUCAUUCUUACAGUUAUGCUUAGGAUAAUAUAUUCUCUAGGGAAAGUAUAGUGCAUCUUUAGAUUAGAAAAGGCGGUCAUUAUCUAACAACCAACAAUAAGUAUACUGUUGUUGAUCAAAAGAGUAGCAAGAAAUCCCUUAAUAUCUCGGAGGUGCAACUGUAUUUGCCUGUACAUCAGAUCUUGUUCCAAAUAUUUUACUGUUUUGAUCAAAUUGAACAUCGGAUGGCGCCUGGAAGUGGAACUACCUGUUUUUAUGAUCAUACAAGAGAUGGACCCUUCUCUCUAACCGGCUGAUUACCUAGCAAACGCUUAUGCAAUAAAAAGUGAAAAUAUCACGAGCCUGAGAAGACCCAAAUUUUUAAUCACCCUGGCUAGUUAGCCGAAAAAGUGGUGCAAGACUGUGGAAGCUGGGGUGAUCCGGGAAGAGUAGCUACCCCAUUGGAGGAAUUGUUAUUGCCACCGUUGUUUCUUUUUGGUGCUCCAAUAAUUUUCAAAAUAGCUGCGGCUAAGGCUCUGCUGAAAUUUGGAUCAGAAGCAAUGGCUGCUGUAACAGUUUCAACCAUAGAAACAGGACGUUGCCAUAACUGCAUUGCCGAUACUGCAGAUAACUUGGGAGGAGCCAACAUGGAGUGCCCUAAAAUCUGUGGGUAACCGUGCACAGGUAGUGGAAAUGUAGCUGCGGAAGGCGGCGGCCAUAAGAAGGGAACGGCAUUUGGGCCCUGAGUCAAGUCAAGGGUUACGAUAGGGAACGGUGCCGCUGAGGGGGCCAUUGUGGAUGCAUAGGGUAAGGAAGGAAAGUAGCCAAAACUUGGUAGGCUAAGGCCAUCCUUGCUUGUUGUUGAACCUGAUAGCAACAUUGCUGCAGCGGCUGACGUAGUGUUAGCCAGAGCAGUGGCUGCUGGUGGUAGAGGAUGAUUGUGAUUCCCUUCAUAUGUGGUUAUGAGAAUGCUUUUAUCCUCCGCACAUCUUUGCACCUGCUUACGUACUGGGCAGCCAACAGCCAUGGUGCAACGGUAGUAGGCUCGUGGGCAAGGAUUACCCUUGGCCAGCUUUUGACCAUAUUUCCUCCAUUGACAUCCAUCGCUAAUCUGAAAAUUUUCAUCCAUCAUUUUCCGCAAAUUUGUCUUAAACGUUGCAAAUAGAAAUUGUACAGAAGCACUUUAGUAUAUAUACUUACCAAGGGAGCUUCUGAUCUGGCUCUAAUCGACACUCUGGCUUUCCUAAAAGGUACUUCAGAGACUUGCUCUUCCUUGUUAGAAUGAUCUAGCUUUAGACAUUUUGUCGGUCUCCAGCUUUGAGACGUUUUAUCGGAACCAUCUUCAACAGAAGCGUGCUUUCCUGGAAUUUGAUGUUCACCUUCCUUCGAUACAACUUCCAUAUUUUUCCCCGGGGAUGCUGACAAAUCUUGUGUUCUAUCGUUAGAUGCCGAAGGUUCAUUGACAUCUAAUGCAGCCGAUGGUCGUGGGUCCAUGAACUGUGGGACUGACAUUAUGGGACUUGACGUGCCAUUUACUGCAUCCUUCUGUUUGAAAAUAAAACUCUUUCAUUAGCCAAUAGCCACACACACACACAUAUAAGCUUGAUAUAUUCAUCCAUGAGAGUUGAAAAACAAUGCUAGUCUUAUUAAACAAUCUCCAUCGCGCAUCUAAAUAUCAAAAUCAAACGACACUGUUUUAUAUUUAGGGUAUACACCAUGUACUGAUUUAACCUAAGAACGAUGGGGGUUUGAAGAAAGGAAAACAAACUCUUUUAUCUUUUUAUUUAGAAUCGUCUAAAGAGUGCAUACGAUGGGUUGGAAAAUAAGCCUAAAUAGGUGGUUGAGCUGACGCCGCCUAUUUUGUUUAGUUGCUAGUCUUUUUACUCUAGCCCUUCAUUUACAAGGGCAAUAGGUGUGGCACUUGGUGCAACGUAUCUAUAGAUUGGGGGAUUGAAUUGUUCAUUAAUUUAAUGACAAUUUUACCUUGAAAGAUAUAGGAAGUUUUCCAAAACAACAAGGUCUAAAUGUAAAUGUAAAAAUUUUCGAGAAAAGAUGAUACCGGAUCAAGGGAGCGCACUCUCCCAUUCAUGUGAAGCACGUUAACCAAGUUUACUUAUUUAAUUUACACAUAAAAGGGACAUAUUUGAUGAAUUGUCAACACCAUAGAAAUAAAUAUUAACAAGCUUUAAUGUUUAGUUGUUCUUAAGAGGAUAAAAUGAUUUUGAUUCUUCUAUAUCUGAUUGAAUACUGAAUUACAUAGCAAACUGAUGAUAUAUACUAGAAAAUAUCUGGUGUUUUGAAUUCAACUUAAAUAUUUCACCUUUUCUGUUUUAUUUCCAAGCGCCAGUUUUUGCACCGCCAUGAAUAGUUGACCUUGCAGCUCUUUGUAGCUUUUGGUAAUCUGACCCAACGUGCAUCUCAGUCUCCUAUUCUCUUCAUUUAACCUUUCUAACGCAAUCUUAACAUGACUGAUCUGAAAACCCCAAUUCACCAUUCAACAAAUUGAAACUCAUAGACCAAAGAAAAUUUUAAAAAUAUGGUAGAACGUUUUUCGAGUAAGAAAUAAGAACAACUUACUUCAGCUUUGGGUUUCUCUUCAUUGGCUAUCCUUGAAACUCCAGAGCUUGAACUGAGAAGAUUUAAUCCAAUCUAAAACGCCAUAUAUAUUUAGUCAAUGAAAGUAAACUCAAAAUUUCCAUAAUAACUCCAACUAGUACUACUAUGAAUUUAAAUUAAUAAAUAUAAACAGAAUUUUUUUUAAAUAAAUCAUAUUAUAGUGAUAAUAAUGAUAAUCCAAAAACCUUACGUUUACAUCGGAAUCUAACAAAGAAGAUAAAGGACUAUUAUUAUUAUUAUCAAUCUUUCUCCCUUGAUGACAAUCAUGUGAUUGAUUAUGAUUAGGAAAGAAAUCCAUUUCCUUGAUGAGAGGCUUAACAUGAUCGCCGGAAUCAUCUAGGGCACCAUCAGGUUCACCAGAAUCCUGGGUGGGACAAUCACCAGAGUGCAAGAACCUCAGUUCUCGACGGAGCUGCUUCUCCAUGACUAAAGGAGAAACUAGAACAAAGAGAAAUAAGAGAGCGGUAGUUAUGUAGCUUUUUCAAGCUUUCAACAAGAAAGGAGCAUUUUCACCAUACUUUUAUAAUAAAAUAUGGUAAUACUACUGUUAAAAAAAGAAACGACUUAACCUUAGAGAGGUGGUCCAAAAUUUUAUAUAUAAAAAAAGGAGUAUUAAUGUGAUCUCUAAGGACCUAUCAUCGACUUAUCGUCCAGUCUCAUCCGUUGGAAUGAAAGCUUACCCUUUUUUCCUCGCGGGAGAUAUGUCGUGACAAUUGAUUGCAAAUUGGAGACGUGGCAAAUUUUGGGUGAGGUGGAACAAAGCAAGGAGUGAAACGGUAGGGGUUGAGACGGGAAGAACGGAUAGGGUAUGAGCGAUCCGUUUGGGGACGUCGUCUUGAGGUCAACGUAAUUGACGGCUCGGGUCCAUCAGAUGGUGGUCAGGGAUUUUAAAAAAAAGUUUGGUCCAGGCCCGGUUACGGGAGAAUACCUAAUCUCACUGACUUAAACCAUGUCAUCACGUCAUUUUUUAGAUUAAUUAGUUCACAUUCACGCCAUCAUAUGCUUCUCUGCCUGUACUUAUAUUGUUACCGGUGAAUUGAGUAUUAAUGCAAUUAGAAAUUUAUUAAAUUAUUUCUAUUAUAAAAUAAAUUAUAUUAUUAUAUAUGUGUUUUUUUUAAUGUAAAAUCAAUAUAAAAAAACAUAAUAUUUGGACUUCCGAGGCAAAGAAUUUUAAAUCUUCAAUUUCAUCCUUUCAAUAAAAAUUCAUUUGAUUUUUAUAUAAAUUUUAAUAAAUUUAUUUAUUACAAAAAUUUUCACCCAUUAUGCUGCAAAAUUUUUACUCGUUUGUUUUGCUUAUUUACUAAAAUAAAAUACCAUAAUGGGUUUUAAUAUAUUGGAAUAAAAUUUAAAGUUAUGCAUUAACUUUGAUUUAAUGUGUAAUUUGAUACAUGAACUUUCAUUUAGUGUAAAUAUACUCAUGAAACUUUGACUGUGGUUCAAAUGUAUACAUGAAACUUUAAUUUUGAUUCAAUCAUACACAUUUAAAGAAAUAAAGACAUCAAUAUAUUUUUAUAUUAGAUAAAUAUAACUAUUUGCAUAUACAAUAUAUAAACUUAAAAUGUUACUAUAUCAAUAAUUGUGUUAAUAAUUUGUAAAAAUUGAAUUAAAUUAAAAUCUCAUGUAUAAAAUUACAAUUAGAUAAAAUUUCAUGUAUAAUUUCAAGAUUUAACCCUAAUAUAUAUAAAAAAAUUAUAUUUUUAAGAAAUAAAUUAAUUAUGUUAUAGGUUUGCCUUUUUUCACAAACGUCAAGUUUUAUUAAAAUCUAGAUCUCAAUAUGGUACAUUUUUCUUUUCACCAUUAAAUAAGAAGAUAAAUGCGAUCGAACUCAUGUCCUCACACUUUGACAAUAAUGUCUCUACUAACUAAUAAAAUUCCCCUAUUAUAAAGUAAAAUGAACGGGAAAAGUGAGCUGAUAUUUUGGAGAGGAAAGGAAAUCAUGAAGGGGAAACACCACAACAAAUGAAAGAAUUGGAUGAAAUAUUGAAAUAUCCAUAUAAUCCUUUUAAAUUCAAUGAUCAUAAUUUGGUUUUAUUAGUUUUAAAUACAAAAAAUAAAAACAAAAAGCAUUAUAGGUUACCUUGGUUUGAUCAUUGUUAUUAAAAAAGAUAUCUCAUAAUGAAAUAGAGAUUUAGAGAAAAGAACACUUAUGAAUACCCACUCAAAUUUGACAAAAAAAAAAAGUAUUCAUAAACUCAUUUUACAUCUAUUUAAAAAGAGAAUUAUACCUUUGCUAUUAGUUGCUUACGUAAUUUUUUUGUUUUAUUUAUUAUUCAUUUUUAAUUAUAAAAUAAUAAAAAUCAAUCAUAUAUUAGAGUAUUAUAUAAUUGAAUAUAUUUAACGUAUUUGAUAAACAAAUAUAUUUAAUUUUAUUAAAAUAAUAUUUUAAUUUUUUUCUAAUAGAGUAGGUACCAAUUAAUUGGAGGAUUUAUUAUAAAAAUUUCAAAUAAGCACGCUCGUCAUGCAAUUAGGUAGUAGAAAUUGGCGGUGUCGUGUCAAAGGGUUAGUCGCACCUAUUAACUAGUAGAUGCUUCCUAGUCUGCUAGCCUAGCUACUAAAACUUGUUACUUAACGUCAUUGAAUACUUACUUAACAUUUUUAUUGAACUUAGUAGAAUCCAAAUGGGAGAUUGGGCGGCACAAAUUUUGACUCUCUUGAAGAGAUUUUGUCACAUACGAUGUAGCUUGGAAGAAAAUGCAAAUAUUUUCAUUUUUAAACAAGUUAAUAUUACGAUGGUUAAACAUGUAUAGGUACAUCAUAUCUAGUUGGAGUAUUUGGGGUGUAAGUGAAACAUUAGUACUCGCAAGUUACUCGAAUUUGAUUGGAAAAAAUAUAUAUGAACUUGAUUCAGUAAUUAUCGAGCCUAGGCAACUCGAGUUAUUUUUCGAACCAAAUUUAAACUUAAUAAUACCCGACUUGAAUGGCUCACAAGCCUUAUCGAGUUUUUCAUAUUUUUAUAUUAUUAAAUUAUAUUAUUAACCUUAAGCUUAAUUAUCGAGCUCGAGUGUUAAAAUUGAUAAACAAGUUUAACCAAGAUCGAACUCAAGUAGCCAAGCUCGAGCUUAAAAAUAGACGUUUGAUUCGAGCUCAAGUCAAGUAUCGAACUCCAAAUCUUGAAUUAAACUCAAGCUAGAGCUCGACAGUAUUUGUGUUUGGCUCAGCUCGAUUGCACCCUUAAUUGUCUUCUCCCUUGCUAAAAUUAUUUUUCAUAAAAUCUUUUUAAUAGAAAAUGAAUUCUGGAUGUUUGAUGUUAUUUCAAAUUUAAGAGAGAGGAUAUAAAUAGAGAGUGUUACGUACAUAAGAAUUAGAUAAUGUUGCCCUUGGACUCCACCAUGUCAAUCUUCCAAGCAAUUUGUGUACACGGUACCACAAAUUUUAAAUUGACUUUGGCUAACAAUGCUAGUGAUUUUCUUUAAAUGAAAUUUAAUAUGGUUCAUUGACUAAAUAUAUAUUAAUCUGAAAUUAUACGGAUGACAAAAUUGACAAUUGACAUUAUCCUGUAAUUUUUACAGCUGUUUUUGAAAUGGAUGGUUUUAUUCAUUAGAAAUAAAUGUGUUUCAAUUUCACAAGUCAUUUAAAAAAUUCAUAAAAUUACAUAUAUAUUUCUUCGAAAAUUCAGACAAGAUGUUUGGCAAAAGCAAAAGAUAAUUGAAACUUGGCAAGAAGUAGUCAAACUUUUGCCACAAAAACUUGCAACAUAUGUUAUAAAAUGGGCAAGGAGAUUCUAAAUUAAGCUUUAAGGUGGAGACUCCUUUGGGAUCUAGUUUUGAUGCUAGUAUGGAAGACACUAGGGGCGGGGACGGAGGCGGAAGAGCAACCAAAACUGUAAGAUUAAGGGAAGAUGAUCCUCUUGAUAUAAGUGAUAUGAUGGGUGAUAACUCAAUCGAUUCAUGUAUAUCUUUCAAAGAUAAGCUUAUGACUUUCUUUAGUGUCUUGAAUUAAUAGAAGAUGAUGUUAUCAUCGACAAUAUUGUUGAUGGUAUAUCAACAAUAAGGUUUUUUCAUAGUAUUUACAAUUGAUCGGAUAAAUUUAUGAAUUUCUUUAGUGUCGUGAAUUAAUCAGAGUUACUUUUUACUAAAUCAAUCCUUUUAGCCAUUUCAAAUUAUUUGUAGAUGAUGAAAUUUUUUGACUAAUUAUAAAAUCCCGCAUAUCAAGUCAAAAUUAUUGUGGGUCAAGUCAAAAGUAUCAUAUGUAAAAUUGAUGACUUUAUAUACUAUAUCAUAAUUAUUUUUCUAAUUAAUUUAAAUUAACUAAGAGAUUAAUUAUUAAAAAUUAUAUAAUCACUAAUUAAGUGAUUAUUUUAUCACCUAAUAAUCAUUUAAUAUUAUCACUCCGAAUGAAGAGUUUACAUUUCAUUGAAAUUCCUCUGCUAUUCGAGUAACUGACAUUAUAAAAGAGAUCACCACUAAGUCAUCCUACACAUUUCACAAAUUCAAAAAUCCAAAAGUUUUCUGAAGAAAGUGAAGAACUUGAAAAUUUUUUGAAGAAUGUCGCAUCGAUUAUAAAGAAAACUUGCCUUCCGGUCCAAUUCAAUCAAGUUGAGGAAGUCAAAAGUUGUUUCUAAAUAAAGUCAUCUUUCAAUUCAAUUAACUAGAGAAGGAAGAUCCAAACUUGUUUUAAGAGCAAGUCAACACGAAACUUAAAGCGGCCCGCAUCUAUCCAAGAUCAAAUUUAGAUGACUCUUAGAUCAAAGUUUAACUGGAGAGAAAAAUUAAAAAGGUUUUUUUUAUAUUCAAGAAAUCUAGAGGUGUAACCACUACAGGAAAAUAGGGCUUUAGCGGCGUUUUAUCAAAAACGCCGCAAAAAUUAUAAAACACGGAGCAAUAGCGGCGUUUUUGGUAAAACGCCGCUAAAAACAGAGCAUUAGCGGCGCUUUUGGUAAAACGCCGCUAAAAACCAAAGCAUUAGCGGCGCCUUCGAUAAAACGCCGCUAAAAGUCAUAUAAUCCCUAAAGCCCUAAACCCUAAAAAAUAAUAAACACUAAUCUAUAACCCUUAAAACACUAAACCUCUAAAUCCUAAAGACCCCUAAACACUAAACUAUAACCCCUAAAACCCUAAACUCCAAAAAACAUCAUAUGGAUGUUGAUGUGUAUAUACAUAGAUAUUAAUGUAAAAGCUUAUGUUCAUAAUAAAUUAUGGAAUUAAAACUGAAUGAGGUUUGAAACGAUAUCACAUACAAUUAAAGAAUUUCAAUUUGAAAGAGUGUAGCUUAAAACUGAAUGGGGUUUGAAAGGGAAGAAAAAGGUCUAAACCUUUGAAACAUGAACUACAAUUGAACAACAUUGGUGUGUUGGCAUACAAAUUAGACGACAUGUUUGAUGGUAUUGGGAUGUCACCCAACUGUUGACUGAGUCUUAGCAAUUAACAUUCAACGCCAAUUGUGAAUUGUGAAUUUAUUUAAAUUUUCAUUUAUGAAUGUAAUUUAAUUAUGAUUUUAGGGUUGUUUUAGCAAAAAGUAAUAACAAAUAUUAUUAUCUAAACAUGAAUUAUCAUCAAAUUAACUUUAAAACUCGAAUUAAAUACUAAAAAAUAUCAAACUCGGGUACCAAAUUAUACAUUAAACCAAAAGAAAAUAUAAAUUAUUAUUUUGGUUUUUAUCUUUUUAAAUAAGUAAAAAGGAAAUUAAUAGCUUCGACUUCAAUACUAUAUUCAAAUCGAGCAAAAGUGACAAAAACAAAGUCAACAUUUUUUUUUAUAAAAUCUAACACUAAAAAACAAAAAUUAAAUUAGUAUUUUAGGCUUUGUCUACAGAGGAAAUUCAUAUAAUCAGCAUUACAUCAUCAAAUAAAUUUUACUAAUUCAAUAAAUUAGUAUUUUAAGUUUUGUCUAAAAAGGAAAUUCAUAUAUUCAAACAUUUUUUUUAUUCAAUGAAAAACUCAGCAAAAAGUAAACAAUAGUAGCGUUUUUAUAUGAAAACGCCGCAAAAAAUAUUUUCCUUCAAACAUCACGCGUUUUAUCCCCAAAAUUUUCCCCUGUUAAACCCUUGAUUUUUCCCCCGUUGGUGCCUCUUAUUCUUUCUUCCAUUUCAGGUGCCUUAAGAAUCGCUCCCUCGCUCCUACCACAUCCACUCACUCUCCCCUACUAUGAUGUUCGUCUCUCUAAUUAAAGCCAUUUAAUAAAAAUUUUAGUCUUUUUUAUAAAAAUCCAAUUUAUAAAAAUAUUAAUAAUAAAUAUUUUAUAAAAUCAUUUGACUAAUAAUUUUCACCAGACAAAACAAGGGAUUUUAAGCAAAAUAAAUAAAAUGAUUUUUUCUAGCGUUUUUUUGAAAAACGCGGCAAAAGAUAAGCAAUAGUGGCGUUUUUCAUAAAAACGCCACAAAAAAUCAUUUUACUUAGAACAAAACUACGCCGUUUUACUCUACUAAAAACCUAUUUUGUUUCUCCUAAACCACAACCCCGAAAUCCCUUAUUAAUUUUAUCCUCAAAUUUUACCCAUUGGAACGUCUAAAAUUUCCCCCUAAAAUCGGUAUCCCCAAAACAUAUCUAAUUUUUCCCCCAAAUCGAAAUCCCCAAAUCAAAAUCCUUCCACCAUUUCCGUGUCGCCAUACUGAUCCCUAAUCCUCAGCAUCUCUCUCACUGCAUUUCUUGCUUCUUUAAAUCUCCAUCUCUAAAUCUCCAUCCCUUUGAUUUUCGCCGAAAUCUAGUAAGUCUAAGUUCAAAUCUUGUAUGGGUAAGCUAAUCUUUUUCCUUUUUUGGGUAUUUGUGGGAGAUUUAUCUUCAAUACAUUCAAACUUUGACCUUUUUAUUUAAUCUAUUUCUGUUAUGGAUAUUGCAUUUUCUCCUCAUUUUGUAAUCUUUUACCUUUGGUUUUUGUUAUCUGUUCUCUUCUCAGAUAGUUUCAUGAUUGCAGAUUUUAAGAAAUUUAAAGGAUGCUUUCUGGCCAUUUCAACGUGGUACUGCUGAUAGUUUAUUCUUAAGGCAGCAAAUGCUGCUAACUGUAUAGAUAAAUUUAAUGGCUUUGAAGAUAGGUAUUUUAUCUAUAUUUCAAUUCAAUCUGUAUUUAGAUGUUAUUUUGGUGUUCUAGGUUAUGAUUUCACAUUUAUUUCAUGCAGUGGGUAUCGGCUUGCAUCUGCAAAGGCUGCUCAACAUAGGCUAGAUCGGGAUGUCUGGACCAGUGUUCAUUUUGGGGAUAUGAGGCGUGCUUUAUCUGGUAUGAUUAGAUGGUGUUGCAUGAGUAAAUACUUUUUUAUUUUAGGUAUCACAUAUCAAGAUCAUUAAAUGUAAAGAUAAUUGAAACUUAUUAUUGUGCGUUCCUUCUCUCGUUCUCAUUCCUUGCAACAGAAAGGGUUCAGAAAAUUAUUUGCACUAUUUCCAGUUUUAGCAUUCGAUCUUCAGUUCAAAGCUUUUGGUUUCAGCUAUUAAGUUCAUUAUCUUUUUUCUCCGCUUUUGAAUUUCCUUUCUCAAACCUGCUUUAGGUAAAAUUUCGUCUUCUUUUUGCUCAUGAAGUUGUAUGGCUCAAUGCAUUUCUGAUGUAAUGUCAAGGUUUAUGUACUUCUAUUAUGAUGAAAUUGUUACCAUAUUUCCAGCAUGUGAACGCUUUAUUCUUCUAAGAACCAAUCCGAAGGAAAUGAGAGAUUAUAGCAUUCUCCUCUAUCAUUGUGGAUUGUACGAGCAGGCUCUGAAAUUUCUCAAAUUGUAUCAAGACAUGAAGGUAAGUUUCAUGGUACACCUUAAUAUGCAACUUCGAACUCUGUUUGAAGAAUUGGGACAAACAUGUUUAGUGAACUAUUUUCAGAGUUCUUCCGCACAAAAUCCGUCAACAGAUCCAGUUAGCAACCCAGAAGAAGAUGCUGUGAAGAAAUUGAUUGUACGUCUCAAUUUCAUUGCAAUGGAGGAAGGUUGGACCUGGCCAUGGUAUGUCAGAAAUUAUCUUGGCAAUAACUCUGAGCCAUGGUAAGAGCUUCAUACAUUUUCUUGUGGUGUUUUAAAUUUCAACAUUACCUUCUCCGAGCUGGAUGGUCAACUUAAGAGUGAAUUUACAGAAACUGAGUUCACAUGUCCCUUAACUGUGCAGUUUAGGAUCAUAACACGAACCUGCACGUAGCAUAAGACGGAUUGAUCCGUACUUAGGAUUCGACCUAGGCAUAUUGCAAAAUGAUGAAAUAAGGUAAUAGAUAAUUGCAUUUGGCCUUGGGUUCUAACAUAUGGUUAAUUUAGUAUACGAGUUUUUUAGGCUGCCUUAGUAGUAUUAUCUUAUCCAUGUACAGUAACAAAGAUUUUGUUUUGGCUUACCUUAAAUGGUUGUAAAUGAUUGUUAUUUGGACCUGUUGUGUAUUUAACAGUGUAUGAAAAUAGAAAAUAUGAAUACAUCACAAGCUAUUAAUAUCAAACCUAUACAGUAACCACUAUAAAAAAAAUUGAAUAAUAAGGCUGCUGAUUUCAUGGCAAAUAUGAGCAGAACAGCUCCCUUGGGUCUGAUUGUGUUUGUUGAGCCGUAGAGUCAAUUUUUCUCCAUUAUAUUAAUUGGAGUUCCUAUUUAGACUUUCUAGCUGGAUUACUAUUUUCUUUUAUAAUAAAAAUAUUUUACUUAAAAAGGAAAAUUGUUUUAUAAGCUGUGGAAUUUUUUAACUUCAUUAGAGAGUUGACAAACAUCUACAAAAUUUUGUUUAUGGACAUGAUCACUCAUUUAUCGUUUUCUAGCUUUGGUCAUAGUUGAUGAGAUUGUCAUGUUUGAUAGAGCAGAGGUAUCAAAUUUCCAUCUAGAUCUUUAUUCUUUCACUUUGUUUUUGAAUGAUAUUUUUGAAACAGUUAAAGCUACGUUGGUAUGGUUCGAAAUCCGUGUUGUUGCUGUAGAAUACAAGGCAUUAUUCAGAGGUAAUUCCUUUUAGAGUAGUAUUAUAUUUGUUUGCAUGUCCUUAUUGUGUGGUUGUCUAUGUUUUGUUCAAUGCUGCCAACCAGAUUUAGUAUUGUUAGAUAUGGCACAUAAGUGUAUUAGUUUCAAGGUUGUAUCUUUGGCUUGGAGAGAAAUGAUAAGUUUGAUGUGCAUCCCCUGAACAAGUAUGUUGUUCAGGGGAAUUAAUAGCUGAGUGAUAUCUUUCAUGUGUAUUUGGAUGUGAUUAAAUGAUUAGAGAAAUCAUUUUUUUAUACAGUAUCAAAAACCCUUGACAACAUAACCACUAUCAUUUUGAUGUUUAAAUUACAUUUUAAGCUAUUAAUAUGCUUAAAUUAUAUUUUGAUGUUUUUAAAAUUAGCUAAUAAUUUAUGAAACGUGGCAAUUUUAAAUUAAAUUAAUUUAAUUUAAUUUAACUAAUAAAAAUCAAAUUUAAUAAAAUUAAGUUUUCAUUGUUUUACUCACUCUCUUCGCAUGAUGAUCCUUUUUUUUUAUGCAUUUUUUUAACUGUUAGAUAAUUUUUAUUUGUAAUUCUUUUACCUGUUUUUACUCAUUUUUUUCAAGUAUUUGAAUUUAAUGUGUUAUCCAAUUUUUUUUUGUUAUAUAUGUUUAUCUAAUAUUAAUUAUCUUAUACAAAGUAUAUAGAAAAGAAUAAAAAAUUUUAUUUUUAAAAAAAUUUAAAAAAUGAAUUUUGAAUUUGGAUGAAAAAUGAGUCGAAAUUGAGAUUUAAAAACAAAAAAAAAAAGCUUGCCGAAGUUUAGGUUUUGUUAUUGAAAAGUAGGUUUGGAUGAACUUGAAUUUUCUAUAGCUAAGUUGUUGGGUGGAGAAAAAAAAGAAAUGUAUAUAUUUAUAAGUUUUUUUUUUUAGAAAGAAGUUUAAGGAAAUAAAAAUUAUUUUUUUAGUUAAAUAUUAUCAUCUAUCACAAAAUAUUAGAUAAGUGAAUUUUUUUAACAGAAUGGGUAAUUUGAGUAACAUAAUGUAGUUUAUAUGUUACUUUGAGUAAUGAAGUUUAGCUUAGGUAUCAAUUAUGACUAAAAAAAAUUUCAGUUAUUUUUUUGUGGUUUAAGCCAAAGGAUUUCAAUUUUCAUUUUAAUAAAAAAAUUUCCAAUUUCCAAAUUACAAAAUAAAAGUAAAAUUUUAUUAAUAAGAGUUAGUGUAUUUGCUUUUUGAUUGGUCCUAUACAGUAAGUUGACUUUCUAACUCUCAGGGUACCAAAUUUGGUUGACUAAUGGGCUAAAUUUUUAUCUUCUUUCUAUGAUUAUAUGUGCUUGUCAACUACUAGUUUGAGUGAAAAACAAAGACAUUUUGUGAGCAAAGUGUCCUUUCCUUCUAAGAUGUAUUUUAGAGGAGCUAUUAAACUUAGUUUGACAUAGUGUUUUUAAUUGCAAAAUUUUGAUAAACUUUUUAGUGUUUUGUUUUAGUCUCUGAUCUUGUAUUUGAUGGCAUGGCAGAACACAUUUAUCCAGGAUGGGAAGGAGAUGGCAUCAGUGCUUUAUACUUAUCACAGCUGUGUCAAAGCACUUCCUCAGGUAUUUUAGCCUUAGUUGAUUCUAAUUUAUACAUAUUUUUAAGGUAAACAAUGUUCUAAUAUAAUCUGCUAGUUUUAGUGUAAAGCAAUGUUCUUUUUUAUGUGGUGUAGGGGAUAUGUAGGAAUUCACAGUUCGGGAUUCAGAAACUUGAUGCUGAAACCGGAGCUGCUUCGAUCUAUUGUGGAUUCUGGUUUUGAACAUCCUUCCGAAGGCAAAGUUUUAAACUCAUGUCUGAUGUUAACAUUCGUGAAUUCCAUGAAUUAAGUCAUUUUGCUUUUCUUGCUUUUAGUGACUUAUAAUGGUGGGCAGUAUACAAGUUUGGUGCUUUAUUAUUUUGAUUCUAUAUUUAUAUUUAAUCUAAUUUUUAUUAUUUAUUUUAAUUUUGAUUCUAUAUUUUUAUUUUUAUUUUAAUUUGAUAACGAAUUUUAAUAGAAAAUUUUUAUAUUUAAAUCAUGGACAUUAUUCUUCUCAAUAUUUUGAUAAUGAAUUUUAAUUUUUUUAUAUAUACAUAUUUUUUUUAAAUUUCAUGACCUUUAGCGGCGUUUGUUGGAAAAGCGCCGCUAAAGGUCCUGACCUUUAGCGGCGUUUUUUCAAAUAAACGCCGCAAAAUUUUGAGACGCCGUCUAUAGCAGCCUUUUUUGCGGCGCUUGCAAAAACGCCACGAAUAGUUUUAGUGGCGCUUAAAAGCGCUGCUAAAGGCCUAAAAAACGCCGCUAAAAGUCAGUUUUGCUGUAGUGAACUUUUUUUUAAAAUGUGUACACUAUUUUAUGCAAUCAACACCGGUUCCAACAAGUGUUUGUAAUGAGAUAAAAAUUUUGCAAUCAACACCGGUUCCAAGUGCUUGUGAGAAAAAAAAAUGUCAGAAACUUUAUUUAGGGUUCAACAAGUGAGAAAUGGAAGCCUACUCUCAUUAGAUAGGAUAAUUGUUGGUAACCCUUGGAGAAUGGGGUCCUUGGUAUGAGGAAACUAAAGGCACAAAACAAGUCUUUCAUGAUGAAAAUAGGCUUCAAUACAUUUACUGACAGGGAUUCUCUAAGGAUUCGAGUACUACGGUCCAAUUACAAAGUGCUAGAAGGCUUUCCGCAAAGCAUUGAAAGAUCAAAUUUUUCCUUUGUGUGACAUAUUCUUUGGGAAAGAUUUAUUAGAGAGAUAUAGCUGAAAGUAUUUUCUGGUCUAUUGAUGAUGGAAAAUCUACACGAUUUCAGAAAAGAUACUUCAUUUUUGGACCUUGUAUAGAUAUUUCUUAAACGAAAGCAUGCCCAUGAUUACUGUUGUGUGAGGCAGAUGAUUGAUGUUGUAGCUAGAUGGAAGUGGGAUAAAUUUGAUAUUCGUCUUCCACAAGAGGUGAUCUUGAACAUUGUGGUAUUUACCCCUUGCGAGAGGGAAUUGAGCUGGAUAAAUGCUUAUGGAGAUGGUCCACCAAUGGAAAAUUUUCCUUUAAUGUAGCUCAAAAAUUCUUAUGCAAGGAUAGUUGGAAUCCUAAGGAGGACGCAUGGUUUAACAUAUGGAGGAUGCAUGUACCUCAAAGAGUUUGAAAUUUUCUUUGGGUUUUGAUGCAUAAUAAAUUACUCACCAACACAAAAAGAUGCAAGCGUGGCAUUGACGAUAUAGAAGCCUAUGAAGUAUAAGGUGAUAUAUAAUGCAAUUAGACAUUGUCAAGUGACAAAAUUGGUUUGGUUAAAACUAAUUCAUUUUGAUAAUGGAGGUAGACUUUUCUCUUUACUCGAGAAUAUGCUUAAUAAAAGUUUCAUUUAUGAUGGGGUUGAAUGAUUCUUUUGGACUGUGAUGUUGGAAUUUGUGAAAGGAAAGAAAUAGUGAAUUUUUAGAACAAGAAGCUUUUUACCUCUAUGGAUAUAAUUAACCAAUCUUAUGUAUCGUCUAAGAAUGUUAAGGUAGCAUGGCAAAAAGAGCAAGCUGAGAAGAGAAAAGUUUUGGAAUUUCAAAAGCAUCCACAUCAUUUUGAUAAGUUUCUUGGAUUCUGUUUAUAAAACAUAAUAAGGCUUUUAACGGCGAAAUGAAUCACAUAGUCAUUGCAAUAGUACCAAUAAAUAUCAUGCUAUUUUUAGCACAAUAAAAAUUAAGUAUUGUGUUUUUUUUUUUAUUUCUUGUUUGUUUCUAAAACUAUACUUCGGAUGAGUUAUUUUAAAAAUAAUAUUACGCAAACUAUAAAAAGUGAUUCUUAUAAUCGACAUUGGUUAUUGUAGAUAAAACGAUGAAUGGAGUAUCGAAUUUCAUGAUCAAAUAUUCUAUUAGCAAUGAACCAGGUUUACAUAUUUGUUAUUACCGUCAGGGGUGAAAUUAGAGGGUUGACAAGGGCCCGUCCCCUCUAAAAUGAAAUUUUUUUUAUUUAACCCUUUUAAAAUUUUUAAAUUUUAAAUUAGUAAAGGUAAAAUUACACUUUGGCUCCCCUUAAAAAUAUAAAAAUUUGAUUUAAUUUUUUAAAAAUUAUAAAUAUAUAGGCUAUUAAAAUAGUGAAAAUGCAUUUUUAUCAUCGUAAAAAUUAUAAUUUAAUUUCGAACCCCCUAAAACAAAAUUUUGAUUUCGCCCAUGUUUACUGUGACGACUAGUAAACUGGAUAAUUAAGAAAGAUUCGAUGAGAAUUACUACAAGGAUUAUGUCUUGUAAUAACUGGGGUCUCUUAGUUGCCCUCCUUUCUUUUACCCCCCCCCCAAAAAAAAAGGUCACUGAUAACAAAUUCAAUGAGAUUAAAUUAUUAAGGAAUUGAAGUUAUGGUAAUGGUGCUAAAUUUUCUUCUAUAAACUAAUAUUCCAUUUUAUUAAUAAUAACUAAAUUAAUCAUAAAAAGAUAUUAACUAAAUUAAAAGGCCAUCGAUUUAGUGAUGGUGGAAAAUGUAAUACUGCUAAUUUGGAGAAAAGAAUGCUCAAAGUUGCUGGUAAAAUACCAGAUUGUGAAGCUAUGGUUUCCUAUUGGAUAGAAUUAAAAUAGAUUGUGGACCAUUCACUCACCUAAUUAUGACAUUUCAUUCAAAAAGUUCAUUAAAUAUUUCUUCAAUGAAAAAGAUGGCAAAAAAGAGAUAUUAAAAACUAUACUUGUAGCUAUGAAUCAUAAAAAUUAGAGAAGCUAAGACUAUCUUCCAUCCAAUCUAUAGUUAUCAUCAACAUAUUAUUAUAUUUUGAUUCUAAUAUAUUUUUUUAUUCCAUUUUGUACAUAGAGAAGGCAACUAAGGCUGAGCCAUAUUUAAGUAUUCUAUGUUCUUGCUAAAUAUGUUUAUAUCCACUCUCUGUAAGAAAUUAUUUUUGUUUUGAUUAGAGAUUCAUAUAUUUUGAUUUUUCAAAUCCUUUUUAGGGUGAAUUGGUUGGUGGGAAUUUUAAUUUUAUUAGUAAAAGUGAGAUUUUGUUACAUGUGCUAGUUUAAUUUUUUUAAAAGGGUGAUUAAGGUACUUAGUUGGAUCUAUUUAUGGAGUGUCGUCUCAUUUUUUGAAGAACCGACAUGGAAGAAUAUUAAGAAACUUCCAAUAAAGAUCUUGAUUAACUUGUCAUUAAAAACAUGCUCUCUUUUAAUUUGAUUUCAAGAGAAUCAUGAUAUUUUAAAUUACACAGAAGAAAAUGAUUGUCAUUCAUAAUCAGAUGAAUCAAACCAAAGACUUUCUAAGUUUUUUUUUAUUUAUAAUGUGUAAUGUCCCAUUUUUGCCUGGCUCGAAAUGAACCCAGAAACAUAAAUUAAAAAUCAAAAGUCCAAUGUUCGUUUACAAAUAUUUAGGCUUAAACCAAACCAAACCUAAACAUUAAAUUCAAAUCACUAACCCAAUACCCAAAUUAAUACCCUAGCCCAAACCUACUACAAGCCCAAAUCUAGACCCAAAGGUUCAAGGCCCAAAAUUCCUUAGCAAUAGAAACCCUAGGGUUCUCUUCCUCGCGCCGCAGCCAAGCCCCAGCCCUCGCUCCGUACGACCGCCACGCGCGCCUCCUUACGCCAGCACACAGCCCCCGUACUCGCGCCACGCACACCCCGUACCUGCAAAAACGACGAACGCACAGAAAAAAAAAACAAAUAUUGUAUUUUUUAUUUAUUUUUAAUCAUUUCUAUCUCUUCGGCUAUAUAGCCAAGAGAUUUCAUCAUUUGUAAGGUUACGGAGGCAAUAUACGCACAAAGAAUAAUAAAAAAAAAAGCAAUCAAAAUAGCAGAGGUGAUUUCUUUGUUCUCCGAAUCGCUUUAGCUUUCAAUGAACCAUUUCGUUUUCUCAUUGAGUUAUUGGUUGUUGUUUUUGUUAAAAAAAUAAAAAGAACAAGAUAGUAGAGGGCUUACCUUGCGAAUAGGCCACAAAUCUCUUUUUUGCUUCGUUGAAAUCGAAGCCAAAAGGGGGAUCUCAAGGCUGAAAAACCACCUCCCCUAAAGCCCGAAUACGCUGGUCGCCGACUGUGGUGGCGGAUCGGCGUUUGCACAAAAGGGGAUUAGAGUUCGGCCGAAUGAGAGGGGAAGGGGAGAGCUUUAGGACUUGUUGGGUUCCUUUUCAAAUGGCUAAUAGUUAACUUAGGUUUUUUUUUUUAAUUUUGUUUUAUGAAGCAUAUGAAACGACGCCGUCCAAAGGGGGGAAGGAUCCGUGUGUUGACCCGAUGGGUAGGCCGGAUCCGC
rnacentral:lncRNA from 1 species